rnacentral:lncRNA from 1 species
UUUCAUUUAGUUUAGUAAGCUGGUAAUUCCUGUUUCGGUUUUCUUUUUCCUAACUGGAUGUUUGUUGUCUACUAUCAAUUCAUGAACCCCAAUGAGUUCAUGUCUCACUGGGUAGAGAAGAAAGCAUCGCUGGCAAUAUCUGAAGAUGAGAUGUCCAGAAAUGUAUUUCUCUUUCUGACUUGUGCUUAAGAUCAUGUAAACUGGAUGUAGGUUGUACUAAUUUUCUGUUGAAACAAGGACCCAGAGAACCAGAAAGCAAAAGAAUAACCCUGCUUUUUUUCCCAUUGAAAAUAAUAGUAUGAUCUGCUUUCAUGUCGAAUUUUGUAUGUUCCAUUUUCAUUUCAUUGUCUUUUUGUUCAAUUGUAUGUCAAUACAAGUUUGAUGUUUAAAUAUUCAGAUUAUGCUUAGAAAUAUUUGCGUUUUGAAUUUUUCCCUUUAAAGAUUGAUUAUCUUUAUUCCUAAAUCCUGUAGUUGACCUUAUUUUCGCUGGGAAUCAUGUAUGUUUUGGCAGAAAAUGCACUAAAAGUAUCAUUGGGUAGUAUAUCUGAACAGUUGAUUAUCCCGUACUCAAAUGGCCAUUGCAGUUCUCCAUGCAAUCCUCUAUCCUAUCUUUCCAUGAAAGAAGGUUCUCUGUUUUGCCAUGGAUCUGCUAUGGAGAGUUUCAUCUGAAAAGAACUCAUAAAGUUUCCCUUUGAAUGAUAGUUGUGGAUCCUUAUCUCUUUUGGGGUUGAAUGCAACAAUAAGCUGAUCACUGUGAGGAUGUGGUUUUUAUCUAAUUUGUUGGUUGCUUGGUCUGGUUUUUGUAAGCUGGAAUUUUUUUCUUCUUCUUGGAAUAUCUUUGCUAUUAACUGUUGUGAUAGCAAUUCAUGGUUUACUAGCUUUUAUCAUUUUCCCCUUUGUGUUAGCUGCAAUUCUAUGGACAACUGACUCAAAAUUGAAUACUGCAGUAUUACCAUUUCCGUAGAUGUAGUGAUGAUGUACUAUUGUACUGCCAUAUCCUCCAAAUACAAUUGCUUGCAAAUAACAAGCCUCUUUAGGCUGGCGUAAAUCAAGUGCUUACACAUGUUUUUUUCUUUUACUUCGCUCAUCUCUUUGGUACUCUUUACCCCGCGUAGAAAGUCAUCCGAUCUCACUCUGAAGGUACUGCUAGUUUUUUGGUUUCCUCACAAUGCUUGGUCCAUGGUUGUAUUUCGAUGUGGUCGAGGAUGGUGUGAUUUGGUUCCACUUGUCCAGCGACUCUGCAGCUGAGUGCAUUGGGUUCUCUCCCGGGGAUUUAUAUCAAGGGAAUCGGCAGCAGCCCUCCAUUCUUUGAUCAUCUCCCCAGGUUACUAGACCAGCAAGAAAACAAUGGGGAGGCGCCCUCUAUUUGCUGGCCAGAUCAGGAACGAAAGUGCUUUAUCUUGGUAAAGAUGAAAUUAAAACCCUUGCUAAUUGGAUGGUGGGGAUUCUAUCUCCUUGCUUGUACCAGGUACGCACACAAUCCUUUGCUUCAAUCACUAGACUCCUAGGAGAUUGACAUCCAUUGGGUUUGAAUGGGUUGCAGAGAGUUUUAGGGCUACGGGAAGGAGACGGGCAUGUAAGAGGGCUGGGUGGAGAGUAGGAACACAUGAUGGAGGGUUGAGAUCUGGCUGCGGUGAGUCGAGUAGCUGGACCAAUGCAUGGCAGGCAGGUGAGAGGCAUUUUGUGUGUGUGAGAGGGAUUACUUAUGAUUUUCCACAAGUGUAGACUACUCUAUUCGCGCGCCCUGUAGUUGGUUAUUAAGCUAAAAUGUCGGUAAGUGGUUUAAUUUUUGGCUAGAAUGUCGUGUUUGCAUAUUUUAGUGACCACACUUCUAAAACUUCUUACGGCAACAGCUCCUCAUGUUUACAUGUUCCUGAAGCGUUUUCCUCUUGUCGUUUCAUCUGAAAAGUAAGUUGCCGAAAUUUUGUUCCAAAAGAAAGAUGUGUAUGUCCUGACUGAAUUCUAGGUAUGUGACGCAAUGUGCAUCAGCAUGUACCGCGACAGUUAAAAGGAAAUUAAACAACCCAACCAUUAUACCUUUGGAGUCAUCAAUCAGCUUAUCAGAUGGCAGCAGGAUUAUCUUAUAUCCAGUGUCCUCAUAUAUAAUGUCUGAGGGUUUUAUGUGGUGCUAAAUUGAUUCACUAGGCAGUCAUGCAGUUCAUAUAGGAGUCCUACUUCAUCAAGAAUCAAUGCAUAGCUGAAUUAUCAUUUACAUUUGCCUGACUGACAGUCAGAAUGUGCAGCAGCACCACGCUUGGUUUUGCCGAAAACGCCUAAUCGAUUUCCAUCUCAGCAAUUUAUUUCUUUUGGCUUGUGAAAAUGAAUGCAGAUAUGGGGGUAUCCAAGUUGCAUCCGGCCGCGGAGAAAUCUCAAUAAUCAGCAUAUGUGCAAGCAAAGCUUUGAAGAAGAUUUGCGUGGCACACUCUGCUUCAAUGUGCGCAAAGCAAAGCAGUUUUUUUUAAACGGAGGCAAAAGGAUUGCCUUGUCGAUUAAUUAAGAAGAAGAGAAUUGCCCAGUUAAUUUACGGAGAACUGGGCAAAAACCGAUACAAAAGUGAUACUCCAGAAGCGACUCACUCUCACGACCACGUAGACGGUCCACCAAAUGCUCCCAACACACAACAACCACAAACAUCAACGCUUCUACGACUCAAAAGACCAAAGCCGCGUGGACAACACGAACACUGAGCACUACCAUCAUGAAAUUGCAGCUGCCUUCCCUUUAGCUUCAUCAACCAAAGGAACCUCCAACUGCUCACUUGACAGAGGCGAAACUUGUCCUUCAAUCGAGGCCGCCGACAUGUCCAUCUUCGUAUGCUCCACUGAUAGACUCAAGCAUAGCUCCCUAAGCUCGGGCAUGAUCUGCAGCACAGGAGCCACAAGCACGGCGAUGGACUCACCCUCAAUGGAAGACACCAUAGGAGGGGAGGUAGGCACCAAUGAUGAGACUCCAACACGAGGGGAGAAAGAGCCGUACAACUCCUCACCCUGUCUUUCGUGGAGCAAACACUGACCGCACAAGGAGAAUGUGACGUUAGAGUGGUCUGCAACAGAGCCGGCACAAGGGAUAGUCUACCCAGAGCAACCUCCGCUCGUUCCAGAAAGCUCUCAACCCGCGCCACACAACCUUGCAACAGUGCAGUCUGAUCAGCCAGUGCGGACUGCAACAUCAACUUGGACGGGGUUGCCGAGCCAGCAUCAGCAGAGACAACAGACGCCCAAGACCCACGGUGAAGCGCCUUGGAAGGGGGUGUGGAUCUCACCGAACCCUCACAUGAAGCAGGAGCAACACGAUGCACGGCGCCGAGACGGGACACAUGCGGCACAUCAAGGCAUGAUAGUGAGCUCAGAGGACGCCAGGGGUUGCGACGUUCACGUGCACGAUGACCAUUCUCCAAACAACGGGAGCACCGCAACGGAUCUCUGCAAACAGUCGCACGAUGACCAUAAGCAAGGCAUCUACAACAUCUACCGUGGAGCCAAGCAGGUAUAGGACGAGGAGGACGAGGAGCCAUCAUCGAAGAUGACGACGAAGUCGGACGACGCGGGCCGCGCCGCGGUAGCACCUCCUGUCAACCCUCACUUGUGUCCGUGUCAUGGCCCACGCAAAUCCCUUCGGAGUCGAGGGCUUUAGUGAUAGUCGACGGCGUCUGGGGGGCCAACUCCUCUUCGUCAUCUUCGUCAUCGUUGUCAACAGCAGAGGCCCACAACACAGCUCGCGGUGCACUGGUUAGCCCGUUGCUCAUGCCAGCAACGAUGCUUUUUGCAUUGACGGGCAGCGUCAAGGCCAUCUCCUCUUCACAGCCCUCGCCGUCUCCAUUGGCCGGGGCCACAGGGGCCGGCAAUAGGGCUCGGGCUCGCGGUGCACUGGUUAGCUCGCGCCCCAUGGCAACAACGGUGCUGUCAAAGCAAAGCAAAGCAAAGCAGUUAUGACCACCACUUUGCCAUCAAGAUGAAUGACUUCUGUAUUUAUCCUCCCGCUUAUCUUUCUUUGCCGUACCAAAGUCUCGUGGCCUGUCACAUCUUUUUAACCUGUAACUUUUUUUCCAACCUAAACAAAGUUUUUUUCUUUCAAAAAGGAUCCAGUCUAUUAUGAAGAUUCACCGGAAGUAUAAAAAUUACGUCAAGGUCUAUGGACCACCAAACAACCAUUGUUGUUGUUGAUGCACCGCUGUCGUUGCACCCAUAUUGGAUCCGGCCCGACCUUGUCAACGACAGCCGGGAAGUCUUUGUGCACGUGCCUCUAAGAACCUGCGCCCUGGAGCCACAGUUGUCGUCGUUGAAUCCUUGAAUAGAAUUGAAGAACCUGGCACCAAAUAUUGUUGAGGCACGAUGAGAAACUCUAAUCCCACCGCCUCGAGGAGCUGCCAGGAAUCUACGCCGGAGCUCCGCCUAAUCCGUCCCAACGGACAAACUUGAGGAGGAUUGAAACCCGAAAGAUUGUCUUGAAGAAGAAGCGUCGCCAUCCGUCCAAACGCCGCGCCUGCAAGGGCCAAAAUUCUACCUAUAUGCAAGGUGCCAGAUUCAAGGCACCAGAAAAUCCUCUCGCCGCAACGUCGAGCUUAACACUACUUGGCUGAAGUUGGCACGGUAUAUAUGCACACCCAUCUGCAAGGUGUCAGCUUGGUUGACUAGUGGGUACUCUUGAUUUGCAUUAAUCUGAUGCCAUUGUAUGAUAAAGAAGGAAAUAUAACAAAGGAAAUAUAACAAAGGAAAUACAUAUAGUUUUACCCAACCACAGAGCACCACAUCCAUGUAUAAGUCCAAGGCCAUAUGGACGGUCUUACUGGUCGCCCUUGAUGUCAGUAAUCCUUUGAAAACUUAUGUACCGUGCAAGCCUCGUUGGUGACCCUUUUUCAGAACAUAAUGUUAUGUGUUACCUUAGCCCUAAACUGGGAUGUUUUACAUAAUUAACUCAAUAAAACAUGUUACACAAGGUCAAUGAGUAAAAAGCCGGUAAAAUGGUCAUUUAUUACUUACUAUAAGCAUUUACAUUGCUGGUCACUAGAAAAAACGAGCAUUAGUACCGGGCCUUUCAUAAGCUAAGCUGGGUUGUUAAUGUAAUUAUUCUUUAGGUAUCUUCCUUUGCAGUUUCUUAGAUGAUAGCUUGAUAUAGUUGUUUAUGCGCAGUAUACCAUUUUCUUGGAAUAGAUAACCUUUGGCUAACAAAUCAUAGACAUGCGUGAGAGAUUCCUUCAUGAAUUGGUUUUGCAAAGAUUGCUUGUCCAGUAGCUUCCCUUUGGUGCCUUUUACUGAUAAUUUUGUUAUUUGUGUUUUGAUUUCGGUGAUGCACGUGAAUGAUUAUAGCACAACCACUGCCCACUGGUGUUGACAAUGGUGUCUCGUCACUCUAGGAAGGCAGAUAAAGAGGUCAUUCAAGUUCGAAGUAGAUUGGUGUUGAUGAAUUGUGCAAGACAUUUUUCUUAUUUAGGACACGCGUUAACACAAAAGCAUAUCCACAGCUAGCCUGCUACCUUCUCUCAGCCUAAAACCGUCCAGACUUCAGGCAACAGGGCUAGACAUAUUUUUUGAAAUUCGUGAACAUUUUUUGAAAUCAAGAAUAGUUUUGUGAAAUCAUGAACACUUUUCAAAUACAUGAACAUUUUUUUGAACUUAUUUACUUUUUUACUAUUCACUUUUUUUUGCGAAUUUUAUUUUUAAAUUUGCGAAUACUUUUAGUUCACCGAAUUCAAAAAAUUUCAUCAAUGGGAAAAAUGUUCAACAAUUCAAAAAAUGUUCAUCCACUCAAUUUUUGUUCAUUGAAUUUAAGAAUAUUCAUCAAAAUUAAAAAAUUUGUUCACCGAAUUGCAAAAAUGUUUGUCAAAUUCCAAAUUUGUUCAUAGGUUUUUGAGAAAAUGUUCAUAAAAUUCAAAAUUUGUUCAUUGAAUUCAAAAAUGAUUCAUCCAUUUGUUUUCAAUUUAUUUUUUCUUGUAUAGAAUUUUUGUUCAUCAAGCUCAAAAAUGUUCAUCAAAUUCAAAAUUUGUUUCAUCAAAUACAAAACAGAGUUCGAUAUUAUUAGAAAAUUCUCUUCAAAAUUGUUCAUCAAGAUAUUUUCUCCAUACUUUAGAAACCAAGAACAUUUUUUGAAUUUGGUGAACAUUUAUUUAUUCCGUGAGCAUUUUGUUGGGGAACGUUGCAGAAAAUUAAAUUUUUUCCUACGGUUUCACCAAGAUCCAUCUAUGAGUUCAUCUAAGCAACGAGUCAAGGGAGAGAGUUAGCAUCUACAUACCACUUGUAGAUCGCGUGCGGAAGCUUGCAAGGUGAUGAUGAAGUCGUACUCGACGUGAUUCGAAUCACCGAUGACCAAGUGCUGAACGGACAGCACCUCCGCGUUCAACACACGUACGGGACGGGAGACGUCUCCUCCUUCUUGAUCCAGCAAGGGGAAAGGAGAGGUUGAGGAAGACAGCUCCACCGGCAGCACGACGGCGUGGUGAUGGUGGAGAGGCAGUACUCCGACAGGGCUUCGCCAAGCACACAACGGAGGAGGAGAGGUGUUGGGGAGGGGAGGGCUGCGCCUUGGAGGGUGGUACGGCUGCCCUCCCCUCACCCCUCUAUUUAUAGGGGGAAGGGAGAAGGGGGCCGGCCCCCUAGAACCCAUCUAGGGGGGGUGCGGCGGCCAAGGGGAGAGGGGGAGAGGGUGGCUUGCCCCCCAAGCCAAGGGGGCGCCCCCUCUAGGGUUCCCCCCUCAACCCUAGGCGCAUGGGCCCAAGGGAGGGGGUGCGGCCAGCCCACCAGGGGCUGGCUCCCUGCCCCACGCAGCCCAUGUGGCCCCCCCGGGAGGGGUGGCCCCUCCCGGUGGACCCCCGGAACCCUUCCGGUGGCCCCGGUACAAUACCGGUAUGACCCCGAAACUUCCCGGUGUCCGUUUGACAACUUCCCAUAUAUAAAUCUUUACCUCCGGACCCUUCCGGAGCUCCUCGUGACGUCCAGGAUCCCAUCCGGGACUCCGAACAACAUUCGGUAGUCACAUACUAGUCUUCCUAAUAACCCUAGCGUCACCGAACCUUAAGUGUGUAGACCCUACGGGUUUGGGAGACAUGCAGACAUGACCUAGACGCUCUCAGGUCAAUAACCAACAGCGGGAUCUGGAUACCCAUGAUGGCUCCCACAUGCUCCUCGAUGUUGUCAUCGGAUGAACCACGAUGUCGAGGAUUCGAUCAAACCCUGUAUGCAAUUCCCUUUGUCAAUCGGUACGUUACUUGCCCGAGACUCGAUCGUCGGUAUCCCAAUACCUUGUUCAGUCUCGUUACCGGCAAGUCACUUUACUCGUACCGUAAUGCAUGAUCCCGUGUCCAACACCUUGGUCACAUUGAGCUCAUUAUGAUGAUGCAUUACCGAGUGGGCCCAGAGAUACCUCUCCGUCAUACGGAGUGACAAAUCCCAGUCUCGAUCCGUGUCAACCCAACAGAUACUUUCGGAGAUACCUGUAAUGCACCUUUAUAGUCACCCAGUUACGUUGUGACGUUUGAUACACCCAAGGCACUCUUACGGUAUCCGGGAGUUACACGAUCUCAUGGUCGAAGGAAGAGAUACUUGACAUUGGCAAAGCUCUAGCAAAACGAACUACACGAUCUUUUAUGCUAUGCUUAGGAUUGGGUCUUGUCCAUCACAUCAUUCUCCUAAUGAUGUGAUCCCGUUAUCAACGACAUUCAAUGUCCAUAGUCAGGAAACCAUGACUAUCUGUUGAUCAUAACGAGCUAGUCAACUAGAGGCUCACCAGGGACAUAUUGUGGUCUAAGUAUUCACACGUGUAUUACGAUUUCCGGAUAAUAUAGUUAUAGCAUGAAUAAAAGACAUUUAUCAUGAACAUUGAAAUAUAAUAAUACUUUUAUUAUUGCCUCUAGGGCAUAUUUCCAACAGUCUCCCACUUGCACUAGAGUCACCAAUCUAGUUACAUUGUGAUGAAUCGAACACCCAUAGAGUUCUGGUGUUGAUCAUGUUUUGCACGCGAGAGAGGUUUAGUCAGCGGAUCUGCGACAUUCAGAUCCAUGUGCACUUUGCAAAUCUCUAUGUCUCCAUCUUGAACAUUUUCACGGAUGGAGUUGAAACGAUGCUUGAUGUGCCUGGUCUUCUUGUGAAACCUGGGCUCCUUGGCGAGGGCAAUAGCUCCAGUGUUGUCACAGAAGAGUUUGAUCGGCCCCGACGCAUUGGGUAUGACUCCUAGGUCGGUGAUGAACUCCUUCACCCAAAUCGCUUCAUGCGCUGCCUCUGAGGCUGCCAUGUACUCCGCUUCACACGUAGAUCCCGCCACGACGCUCUGCUUGCAGCUGCACCAGCUUACUGCUCCACCAUUCAACAUAUACACGUAUCCGGUUUGUGACUUAGAGUCAUCCAGAUCUGAGUCGAAGCUAGCGUCGACGUAACCCUUUACGACGAGCUCUUCGUCUCCUCCAUAAACGAGAAACAUGUCCUUCGUCCUUUUCAGGUACUUCAGGAUAUUCUUGACCGCUGUCCAGUGUUCUUUGCCGGGAUUACUUUGGUAUCUUGCUACCAAACUUACGGCAAGGUUUACAUCGGGUCUGGUACACAGCAUGGCAUACAUAAUAGAUCCUAUGGCUGAAGCAUAGGGGAUGACACUCAUCUCUUCUUUAUCUUUUGCCGUGGUCGGUGACUGAGCCGAGCUCAGUCUCACACCUUGUAACAUAGGCAAGAACCCCUUCUUGGACUGAUCCAUUUUGAACCUCUUCAAAAUCUUAUCAAGGUAUGUGCUUUGUGAAAGACCUAUGAGGCGUCUCGAUCUAUCUCUAUAGAUCUUGAUGCCUAAUAUGUAAGCAGCUUCUUCCAAGGUCCUUCAUUGAAAAACACUUAUUCAAGUAGGCCUUAAUGCUGUCCAGAAAUUCUAUAUUAUUUCCCAUCAAGAGAAUGUCAUCUACAUAUAAUAUGAGAAAUGCUACAGAGCUCCCACUCACUUUCUUGUAAACGCAGGCUUCUCCAUAAGUCUGCAUAAACCCAAACGCUUUGAUCAUCUCAUCAAAGCGAAUGUUCCAACUCCGAGAUGCUUGCACCAGUCCAUAAAUGGAUCGCUGGAGCUUGCAUACUUUGUUAGCGUUCCGAGGAUCGACAAAACCUUCCGGCUGCAUCAUAUACAGUUCUUCCUUAAGAUGCCCGUUAAGGAAUGCUGUUUUGACGUCCAUCUGCCAUAUCUCAUAAUCAUAGCAUGCGGCAAUUGCUAACAUGAUUCAGACGGACUUCAGCUUCGCUACGGGAGAGAAAGUCUCGUCGUAGUCAAUCCCUUGAACUUGUCGAUAACCCUUAGCGACAAGUCGAGCCUUAUAGAUUGUAACAUUACCAUCCGCGUCCGUCUUCUUCUUAAAAAUCCAUUUGUUUUCUAUCACUCGCCGAUCAUCGGGCAAGUCUGUCAAAGUCCAUACUUUGUUUUCAUACAUGGAUUCUAUCUCGGAUUUCAUGGCUUCAAGCCAUUUGUUGGAAUCCGGGCCCGCCAUCGCUUCUUCAUAGUUCGAAGGUUCAUUGUUGUCUAACAACAUGAUUUCCAGGACAGGGUUGCCGUACCACUCUGGUGCGGAACGUGUCCUUGUGGACCUACGAAGUUCAGUAGUAACUUGAUUCGAAGUACCUUGAUCAUCAUCAUUGUUUUCCUCUUCAGUUGGUGUGGGCUUCACAGGAACGGUUUCCUGCGUUGCGCCACUUUCCCGCUCAAGAGGUAGUACUUCAUCGAGUUCUACUUUCCUCCCACUUGCUUCUUUCGAGAGAAACUCUUUUUCCAGAAAGCAUCCGUUCUUGGCAACAAAGAUCUUGCCUUCGGAUCUUAAGUAGAAGGUAUACCCGACAGUUUCCUUAGGGUAUCCUAUGAAUACGCAUUUUUCUGACUUGGGUUUGAGCUUUUCAGGUUGAAGUUUCUUGACAUAAGCAUCGCAUCCCCAAACUUUUAGAAACGACAGCUUAGGUUUCUUUCCAAACCAUAAUUCAUACGGUGUCGUCUCAACGGAUUUAGACGGUGCCCUAUUUAAAGUGAAUGUAGCUGUCUCUAGAGCGUAUCCCCAAAAUGAUAGCGGUAAAUCGGUAAGAGACAUCAUAGACCGCACCAUAUCCAAUAGAGUGCGAUUACGACGUUCGGACACACUGUUUCGCUGAGGUGUUCCAGGCGGCGUGAGUUGUGAAACGAUUCCACAUUUCCUUAAGUGUGUACCAAAUUCGUGACUUAAGUAUUCUCCUCCACGAUCUGAUCGUAAGAAUUUUAUCUUUCGGUCACGUUGAUUCUCUACCUAAUUCUGAAAUUCUUUGAACUUUUCAAAGGUCUCAGACUUGUGUUUCAUUAAGUAGACAUACCCAUAUCUACUCAAGUCAUCAGUGAGAGUGAGAACAUAACGAUAUCCUCCGCGAGCCUCAACGCUCAUUGGACCGCACACAUCGGUAUGUAUGAUUUCCAACAAGUUGGUUGCUCGCUCCAUUGUUCCGGAGAACGGAGUCUUGGUCAUUUUGCCCAAGAGGCAUGGUUCGCACGUGUCAAACGAUUCAUAAUCAAGAGACUCUAAAAGUCCAUCGGUAUGGAGCUUCUUCAUGCGCUUGACACCAAUGUGACCAAGGCGGCAGUGCCACAAGUAUGUGGGACUAUCGUUAUCAACUUUAAAUCUUUUGGCAUCUACACUAUGAACAUGUGUAAUAUUACGCUCGAGAUUCAUUAAGAAUAAACCAUUGACCAUCGGAGCAUGACCAUAAAACAUAUCUCUCAUAUAAAUCGAACAACCAUUAUUCUCAGACUUAAAUGAGUAGCCAUCUCGUAUUAAACGAGAUCCAGAUACAAUGUUCAUGCUCAAACUUGGCACUAAAUAACAAUUAUUAAGGUUCAAAACUAAUCCCGUAGGUAAAUGUAGAGGUAGCGUGCCGACGGCGAUCACAUCGACUCUGGAACCAUUCCCGACGCGCAUCGUCACCUCGUCCUUCGCCAGUCUCCGUUUAUUCCGCAGCUCCUGCUAUGAGUUACAAAUAUGAGCAACGGCACCGGUAUCAAAUACCCAGGAGUUACUACGAGUACUGGUAAGGUACACAUCAAUCACAUGUAUAUCAAAUAUACCUUUGGUGUUGCCGGCCUUCUUAUCCGCUAAGUAUUUGGGGCAGUUCCGCUUCCAGUGACCCUUCCCCUUGCAAUAAAAGCACUCAGUCUCAGGCUUAGGUCCAUUCUUUGACUUCUUCCCGGUAACUGGCUUACCAGGCGCGGCAACCUCCUUGCCGUCCUUCUUGAAGUUCUUCUUACCCUUGCCCUUCUUGAACUUAGUGGUCUUAUUGACCAUCAACACUUGAUGUUCUUUCUUGAUUUCAGCCUCUGCUGACUUCAGCAUCGAGAACACUUCAGGAAUGGUCUUUUCCAUCCCCUGCAUGUUGUAGUUCAUCACAAAGCUCUUGUAGCUUGGUGGGAGCGACUGGAGGAUUCUGUCAAUGACCGCCUCAUCUGGGAGGUUAAUGUUCAGCUGGGUCAUACGGUUGUGCAACCCAGACAUCUUCAGGAUGUGCUCACUGACAGAACUGUUUUCCUCUAUCUUACAACUGUAGAACUUGUCGGAGACAUCAUAUCUCUCGACCCGGGCAUGAGCUUGAAAAACUAGUUUCAGCUCUUCGAACAUCUCAUAUGCUCCGUGGUGCUCAAAACGCUUUUGGAGCCCCGGUUCUAAGCUGUAAAGCAUGCCGCACUGAACGAGGGAGUAAUCAUCAGCACGAGACUGCCAAGCAUUCAUAAUGUCUUGGUUCUCUGGGACGGGAGCGUCACCUAGCGGUCCUUCUAGGACAUAUUGUUUCCUGGCAGCUAUGAGGAUGAUCCUCAGGUUCCGGACCCAGUCCGUAUAGUUGCUGCCAUCAUCUUUCAGCUUGGUUUUCUCUAGAAACGCGUUGAAGUUCAUGUUGACAUUAGCGUUGGCCAUUGAUCUACAAGACAUAUUUGCAAAGGUUUUAGACUAAGUUCAUGAUAAUAAAGUUCUAAUCAAAUUAUGAACUCCCACUCAGAUUAGACAUCCCUUUAGUCAUCUAAGUGUUACACGAUCCGAGUCGACUAGGCCGUGUCCGAUCAUCACGUGAGACGGACUAGUCAUCGUCGGUGAACAUUCUCAUGUUGAUCGUUUCUUCCAUACGACUCAUGUUCGACCUUUCGGUCUCCGUGUUUCGAGGCCAUGUCUGCACAUGCUAGGCUCGUCAAGUUAACCCUAAGUGUUUUCGCUGUGUAAAACUGUCUUACACCCGUUGUAUGUGAACGUAAGAAUCCAUCACACCCGAUCAUCACGUGGUGCUUAGAAGCGACGAACUGUAGCAACGGUGCACAGUUAGGGGAGAACACUUCUUGAAAUUUUAUAAGGGAUCAUCUUAUUUACUACCGUCGUCCUAAGUAAACAAGAUGCAUAAACAUAAUAAACAUCACAUGCAAUUAUAUAGUUGUGACAUGAUAUGGCCAAUAUCAUAUAGCUCCAUUGAUCUUCAUCUUCGGGGCUCCAUGAUCAUCUUGUCACCGGCUUGACACCAUGAUCUCCAUCAUCAUGAUCUCCAUCAUCGUGUCUUCAUGAAGUUGUCACACCAACGACUACUUCUACUUCUAUGACUAACGUUUAGCAAUAAAGUAAAGUAGUUUACAUGGCCUUAUUCAAUGACACGCAGGUCAUACAAAAAAUAAAGACAACUCCUAUGGCUCCUGCCGGUUGUCAUACUCAUCGACAUGCAAGUCGUGAAUCCUAUUACAAAGAACAUGAUCUCAUACAUCACAAUUCAUCAUUCAUCACAACUUCUGGCCAUAUCACAUCACAUGAUCAAUCGCUGCAAAAACAAGUUAGACGUCCUCUAAUUGUUGUUGCAUCUUUUACGUGGCUGCAAUUGGGUUCUAGCAAGAACGUUUUCUUACCUACGAAUCACCACAACAUGAUUUUGUCAACUUCUAUUUACCCUUCAUAAGGGCCCUGUUCAUCGACUCCGCUCCAACUAAAGUGGGAGAGACAGACACCCGCCAGCCACCUUAUGCAACUAGUGCAUGUCAGUCGGUGGAACCGGUCUCACGUAAGCGUACGUGUAAGGUUGGUCCGGGCCGCUUCAUCCCACAAUACCGUUGAGCAAGAAAAGACUAGUAGAGGCAAGUAAGAUGACAAAAUCCACGCCCACAACAAAAUGGUGUUCUACUCGUGCAAAGAGAACUACGCAUAGACCUAGCUCAUGAUGCCACUGUUGGGGAACGUUGCAGAAAAUUAAAAUUUUUCCUACGGUUUCACCAAGAUCCAUCUAUGAGUUCAUCUAAGCAACGAGUCAAGGGAGAGAGUUAGCAUCUACAUACCACUUGUAGAUCGCGUGCGGAAGCUUGCAAGGUGAUGAUGGAGUCGUACUCGACGUGAUUCGAAUCACCGAUGACCAAGUGCUGAACGGGCAGCACCUCCGCGUUCAACACACGUACGGGACGGGAGACGUCUCCUCCUUCUUGAUCCAGCAAGGGGAAAGGAGAGGUUGAGGAAGACAGCUCCACCGGCAGCACGACGGCGUGGUGAUGGUGGAGAGGCAGUACUCCGACAGGGCUUCGCCAAGCACACAACGGAGGAGGAGAGGUGUUGGGGAGGGGAGGGCUCCGCCUUGGAGGGUGGUACGGCUUCCCUCCCCUCACCCCUCUAUUUAUAGGGGGAAGGGAGAAGGGGGCCGGCCCCCUAGAACCCAUCUAGGGGGGGUGCGGCGGCCAAGGGGAGAGGGGGAGAGGGUGGCUUGCCCCCCAAGCCAAGGGGGCGCCCCCUCUAGGGUUCCCCCCUCAACCCUAGGCGCAUGGGCCCAAGGGAGGGGGUGCGGCCAGCCCACCAGGGGCUGGCUCCCUGCCCCACGCAGCCCAUGUGGCCCCCCGGGAGGGGUGGCCCCUCCCGGUGGACCCCCGGAACCCUUCCGGUGGCCCCGGUACAAUACCGGUAUGACCCCGAAACUUCCCGGUGUCCGUUUGACAACUUCCCAUAUAUAAAUCUUUACCUCCGGACCCUUCCGGAGCUCCUCGUGACGUCCAGGAUCCCAUCCGGGACUCCGAACAACAUUCGGUAGUCACAUACUAGUCUUCCUAAUAACCCUAGCGUCACCGAACCUUAAGUGUGUAGACCCUACGGGUUUGGGAGACAUGCAGACAUGACCUAGACGCUCUCAGGUCAAUAACCAACAGCGAGAUCUGGAUACCCAUGAUGGCUCCCACAUGCUCCUCGAUGUUGUCAUCGGAUGAACCACGAUGUCGAGGAUUCGAUCAAACCCUGUAUGCAAUUCCCUUUGUCAAUCGGUACGUUACUUGCCCGAGACUCGAUCGUCGGUAUCCCAAUACCUUGUUCAGUCUCGUUACCGGCAAGUCACUUUACUCGUACCGUAAUGCAUGAUCCCGUGUCCAACACCUUGGUCACAUUGAGCUCAUUAUGAUGAUGCAUUACCGAGUGGGCCCAGAGAUACCUCUCCGUCAUACGGAGUGACAAAUCCCAGUCUCGAUCCGUGUCAACCCAACAGAUACUUUCGGAGAUACCUGUAAUGCACCUUUAUAGUCACCCAGUUACGUUGUGACGUUUGAUACACCCAAGGCACUCUUACGGUAUCCGGGAGUUACACGAUCUCAUGGUCGAAGGAAGAGAUACUUGACAUUGGCAAAGCUCUAGCAAAACGAACUACACAAUCUUUUAUGCUAUGCUUAGGAUUGGGUCUUGUCCAUCACAUCAUUCUCCUAAUGAUGUGAUCCCGUUAUCAACGACAUCCAAUGUCCAUAGUCAGGAAACCAUGACUAUCUGUUGAUCACAACGAGCUAGUCAACUAGAGGCUCACCAGGGACAUAUUGUGGUCUAAGUAUUCACACGUGUAUUACGAUUUUCGGAUAAUACAGUUAUAGCAUGAAUAAAAGACAUUUAUCAUGAACAUUGAAAUAUAAUAAUACUUUUAUUAUUGCCUCUAGGGCAUAUUUCCAACACAUUUAUCAUUUCCUGUAAUUGUUUUUUAAUGAUGAACAAUUUUUGAGUUCACGAGCAUUUCACAAUUUGCAAACUUUUUUUAAAUCCCGGAUUAUUUUUAAAAAAGCAGAAAUGGUAAAACAGAGAAAAAAAUAGAACACAAGGUGCUUCCCACCCUGCACAUGGGCCGCCCGAAGAGGGGCACGGGGAAAUAGGAGCUCUCGUUUUCUGCAAUCCAGGGACCUAUCCUCGACCGGAGGAGCCAUCCAAAACUAAGGCUAGAGAGGCCGACAGAGGUUCCCGGCACGGCCCAGCAAAGACAAGUGAUAGUCAAGUCCCACACUAGUAUAGUACUAAAAAAAUGGAGUACUCCAACACAUAGGAUAGUUUAGUCCACGGUAGUCCAGCAAGCACACAGAAAUAAGGACAUAUGCUAGGUUUUGUUCCCACCAGGAGCAUUUGCUCCUGGGUGUAGAAUGGUACUUUCGCAAGGGGAAGCACUUCACAUGUGGCACCUGGCGAGUAGUUGAGGCGGUCAGCGCGAGCGCUCUAUCAACCACCCGAUGGAACCAUACCUUUAAUGUGCUACAUAAGGGAGGGGGCGGGGGUAAUGUACAACAUUAAUUAAGCCAAGCUCGAUUGAAAUCAUAAAUUAAUUGGGAUUUCUACGAGGGGAGAAGGAGUCCUCCUCUUCGGCGCCUUAAGUGCCACUUGGCGAACCCGCGUUCAAGGCAUCGCCUACAUGGGCUUGGCCCAGUAAUGCUCACUGACCCUUGCUUCCUCGCUCGUUUUAUCUUUCCUAUUUUACUACAGUACGUAUUGCUGUUCUUAGAAAAAAAACGAGCAGUUUUUUAAGUUCAUGAAAAAUUUCAUAAAUAUAAAUUUUUUUGUGGAUUUUGGAAAAGAAAUCCGUAUUCAGAAAAAGUUCAUCGAUUUGGAGAAAAAGUUUGUGAAUUUGGAAAAAAAUCAAGGAUUUUGAUUUUUUUUGGAAAUUUUAUUAAAGUUUGUGGAUUUGAGCAUAUUUAUGCACUUGAAAAAGGUUCGUGUAUUUGGAAAAAAUAUCAUGAAUUUGAAAAAAAGUUCACGAGGUUUGAAAAUAAGUUUAUGAAUUUACAAAAAAGUUCGCAAGUUUGACAAAAAGUUAAUGAAUUUGGAAAAUGUUCGAAAAUUUGAGUUGUAUUUCAAAUAUAGAAAAAGUUCAAGAUUUUGGGAAAAUUAAGGAGGAAAAAGAAAAAUCAAAUAAAUAGAAGAACCGAAGAAAAAAAAUGGUCAAGAAAUACCAAAAAACCGAAAAAACAGCAGGAAGCUUCCAAAACUUUCCCAAAACCGGCCCUGGAAGCUUCUUGGAGCUUCCCAAAAACGGGGAAGGGAGAAUCCGUACUAGUUCUCUACACGGGCUGACCCGUAAAGAAAUGUUUUUUUGCGGCAAUCCCUACAUAGCGCUGGAAAUUCUACGGCCCGGCCCAUUUGUGGGAUUCACCCCGACCGGGUUUUGGAAGUUCUUAGAUCCUUCCCUGAAUCGGUUUUUUCUUUCUUUUUCUUUUUCUUUUUGUUCCUGUUUUCGUUUCGUUUUUUAUUUUUAUGUUUUUUUAUUUUAUUCUUAUUACUUCAAUUUUAUGUAAUAUUUUUAAAUUCGUGAUUUUUGUUUCUUUUUUUUCGUUUUCACUUUGCAAACAUAUUUUUUGAAAUUAAUGAACAUUUUUUGAAAUCAAGAACAAUUUUGUGAAAUCAUGAACACUUUUUAAAUACAUGAACAUAUUUUUGAACUUAUAUACUUUUCAUUUUUUUGCGAUUUUUUUAAAUUCGCAUAUACGUUUUAGUUCACCAAAUUCAAAAAAUAUCAUCAAUGGGAAAAAUGUUCAACAGUUCAGAAAAUGUUCAUCCACUCAAUUUUUGUUCACUGGAUUUAAAAAUGUUCAUCAAAAUUAAAAAUUUGUUCACCGAAUUGCAAAAAUGUUUGUCAAAUUCCAAAUUUGUUCAUAGGUUUUUGAGAAAAUUUUCGUAAAAUCCAAAAUUUGUUCAUUGAAUUCAAAAUUGAUUCAUCCAUUUUUUCCAAUUUAUUUUUUCUUGUAUACAAUUUUUGUUCAUCAAGCUAAAAAAUGUUCAUCAAAUUCAAAAUUUGUUUCAUCAAAUACAAAACAUUGUUUGACAUUAUUAGAAAAUUCUCUUCGAAAUGGUUCAUCAAAAUAUUUUCUUCAUACUUUAGAAACCAUGAACAUCUUUUGAAUUUGGCGAACAUUUAUUUAAUCUGUGAGCAUUUAUCAUUUCCUGAAAUUGUUUUUUUAAUGAUGAACAAUUUUUGAAUUCACGAGCAUUUCACAAUUUGCAACUCUUUUUUAAAUCCCGGAUUAUUUUUAAAAAAGCAGAAAUGUUAAAACAAAGAAUAAAAAAAUUAGAACACAAGGAGCUUCCCACCCUGCACAUGGGCCGCCCGAAGAGGGGCAUGGGGGAAUAGGAGCUCUCGCUUUCUGCGACCCAGGGACCUAUCCUUGAGUGGAGGAGCCAUCCAAAACUAAGGCUAGAGAGGCCGACAGAGGUUCCCGACUCGGCCCAGCAAAGACAAGUGAUAGUCAAGUUCCACACUAGUAGAGUGCCAAAAAAAAUGGAGUACUGCAACACAUAGACUAGUUUAGUCUAUGGUAGUCCAGCAAGCGCACAGAAAUAAGGACCUAUGCUAGGUUUUGUUGCACGUCCCCGCUGGUUUCCCGACUCAGCGCACCACACGACACCGCCACCGCUUCGCCGCCGCACGCUACCACUUGUCUUGUUCGCUGCUCGCAUGCCACCGCUGUGUGCUGCAGCGGUAUAAAAGCAUGUGCAUAAUCUUUAGCUUAAUAAUAAAGCGCCUACUGCUUCUGGCGGUAAGUCGUUGUAUUUUUCAGAAAAGUCCUUGUGUUUUUUGAUAUUCAACCCGUAGUCCUAUUUAAGUGGCAAAACGAAACGUUUUUCAGAUUUUACACAAAACCCACUGCACUUUCAGGUAAUUAACCCGCAGUUCACUUGUAAGUGACAAUUUAAAUCUUUUUUUUUUGCAUUUUUUUACAGAAAACAUCAUGUCUUUUAUGCUAAUUAACCAAUAGAACAAAUGUUUUUCUUCUUCUUCGAAAUAUCCAUAUCUUUUAAACCAUAACUUCAAUUCAACAUGUUAUAUAUGAAGUUUGAUUGGAAAAAUGUGUAGAAUUCGAAUAUGAUGUUAUUUUUACCUCUUGACUAUUUUAAAAAUGAUAUUUAGAGUGCAACCUUAAUCAAUAGCGCACAACCAAAUUGAAGACAAAAAAAUGUAGCAAGAGAAAAGCCUCAUCUUAUGCCAUGAGAGAGAUGGCUUACGAUUGACCACAUUCAAGCGCAUUGUGGUUCUGUAAGCACUAUGAUCAUCGUAUGCGAGAAUGCGACGACGGACAAAUGGCAACAAGAUGGGAUGUCAUGUUGAAAUAAAGAACAUGGACUUAUUGGUUUCUUGGCUCAUGAUUAUUUGGGUUACGGAUAUGUGUUACCUUUUUCUCCCGUUGCAACGUCUAGUGAAAACGAAAGAGGCCAGCAGCCAGGCCACACCUACGCCUCGUACGGCCACGCCCAAACCGCAACAGUGCAAGUUGAAGUUGGCGCCGAGACGCCGCAACAACUGCCGCAUGCCUGCUCACCACCACGCCGAUAAAGUAUCACUUGUUAAUUAAGAGUGGCACCCCAAAACCUACCUAUCUAGUACACCCUCUGUUUUAAUUUAGUCCGCGUAUUAGUUUUGGUCAAAGUCAAGCUUUGUAAACUUUGACAAAGUUUAUAAACAAAAAAUUAACAUUUCCAAUAACAAAUCAAUAUCAUUAGAUUCAUUGUUGAAUGUACUCACAUAUAGAUUUGUUAUGGUAAAUGUUUAUAUUAUUUUCUAUAAACUUGGUCAAAUUUUAGCAAAUUUAACUUCAGUCAAAUCUAAUAUGCAGAGUAAAUAAGAACAGAAGGAGUAUAUACAUGCAGAUGCUUGCACGUUACAAGUGAAAUCUUCAAAGAACAACCAUGAUUAAUCGUGUAGAAACAUAUAAUAUAUUAUGCUACCACAAAAAAAACAGCCAAACAUGGUGGAGGUAGAAAAGAUGGUUGACCAUUCGUUAGAAAGAUCUCUGACGACCUUUGAGGGAGUCCUGGACUAGGGGUGUCCGGAUAGCCGAACUAUCAUCAUCGGCCGGACUCCAAGACUAUGAAGAUACAAGAUUGAAGACUUCGUCCCGUGUCCGGAUGGGACUUUCCUUGGCGUGGAAGGCAAGCUUGGCGAUACGGAUAUGUAGAUCUCCUACCAUUGUAACUGACUCUGUGUAACCCUAGCCCUCUCCGGUGUCUAUAUAAACCAGAUGGCUUUAGUCCAUAGGACGAACAACAAUCAUACCAUAGGCUAACUUCUAGGGUUUAGCCUCCUUGAUCUCGUGGUAGAUCUAUUCUUGUAAUACCCACAUCAUCAAUAUCAAUCAAGCAGGACGUAGGGUUUUACCUCCAUCAAGAGGGCCCGAACCUGGGUAAAACAUCGUGUCCCUUGUCUCCUGUUACCAUCCGCCUAGACGCAUAGUUCGGGACCCCCUACCCGAGAUCCGCCGGUUUUGACACUGACAUUGGUGCUUUCAUUGAGAGUUCCUCUGUGUCGUCACCGAUAGGCUCGAUGGCUUCUUCGAUCAUCAACAACGAUGCAGUCCAGGGUGAGACUUUUCUCCCCGGACAGAUCUUCGUAUUCGGCGGCUUUGCACUGCGGGCCAAUUCGCUUGGCCAUCUGGAGCAGAUCGAAAGCUACGCCCCUGGCCGUCAGGUCAGAUUUGGAAGUUUGAACUUCACGGCUGACAUCCGCGUGGACUUGAUCUUUGAUGGAUUCGAGCCACAGCCGAGCGCGCCGCACUAUCACGAUGGGCAUGAUUUAGCUCUGCAGCCGGACAGUGCCCUGGAGGCCGCACACAAGUCCGCUCCGACCCUCAAUUCGGAGCCGGCUGCGCAGAUCGAGGACGGGUGGCUAGACACCGCCUCGGGGGCUGCAACCUCUACGGUGAUGGAGCCGAAUACUGACCUUGUCCCUCGUGAAACUCAUGACUCCGAGGUGCCGGACUCCGAACCUCCCGCGCCCCCUCCAAUCGAAUCCGAUUGGGCGCCGAUCAUGGAGUUCACCGCUGCGGACAUCUUUCAACACUCACCUUUCAGCGACAUCUUGAGUUCGCUAAAGUAUCUCUCAUUAUCAGGAGAGCCCUGGCCGGACUGCGGUCAGGACGGUUGGGAUGCGGACGACGAAGAAAUUCAGAGCCCACCCACCACCCACUUAGUAGCCACUGUUGUCGAUCUAACCGACAUGCUAGACUUCGACUCCGAAGACAUCGACGGUAUGGACGAAGAUGCCGGAGACGACCAAGAACCAGCGCCUACUGGAAACUGGAAAGUCACCUCAUCAUAUGACAUAUACAUGGUGGAUAUCCCAAAGGAUGGGAAUGACGAAGGAACAGCGGAGGAUGACCCCUCCAAGAAACAGCCAAGCGCCGGUGUCAGCGGGGCCGCUCUAAAUCCCGCCACAGCAAGAAUGGAGAUUCCGGCACCGGAGAUAAUAACACCCCAGACAGUGCCGAAGACAAUCCCCUCCAGCAAGAUUCAGCACAGGAGGAUGGAGACGCCAGCCCUCAUGAGAGAGCGGCAGACGAAAAGGUAGAGGAUUACAUGCCUCCCUCCGGAGACGAGGCAAGCCUCGACGACGAUGAAUUCGUCGUACCUGAGGAUCCCGUCGAACAAGAGCGUGUUAAACGCAGGCUUAUGGCCACGGCAAACAGCCUCAAGAAAAAGCAGUAAUAACAACUUAGAGCUGAUCAAGAUCUGCUAGCCGACAGAUGGACUGAAGUCCUUGCGGCCGAAGAGCAUGAGCUCGAGCCCCUCCAAAAGCUACCCUAAACGCAAGCUGCUCCCCCGAUUAGAGGAGGAGGCAUAUGAACCUGCAUCACCAGCGGACAAUACGGCUGACCGACCACCCCGUGGCCGCGACAGAGAGGCCUCUAGGCCCUCCACUAGAACCGUAUCCCGGCAUCGCUCGAAAAGCACAAGGCCACAGGGGAACGCUCUGGACUUGCGAGAUAUAUUGGAGGAUAAGGCAAGACAAUCAGGAUCGAUGUAUGGGUCGCGUGGGCGCCCCAUGAUACGUGACGACAAUCGUCGCGCCGGACACAACAAGUCUGGCCGGGCCGAACACAGUAGACAAAGCUCUUUUGAGCUUCGUCGUGAUAUAGCCCAAUACAGAGGCACCGCACACCCACUAUGCUUCACAGACGAAGUAAUGGAUCAUCAAAUCCCCGAAGGGUCUAAACCCAUGAAUAUUGAAUCUUAUGAUGGCACAACAGACCACGCGGUUUGGAUCGAAGACUAUCUUCUUCAUAUCCACAUGGCCCGCGGUGAUGAUCUUCACGCCAUCAAAUACCUCCCACUCAAGCUUAAAGGACCAGCUCGACAUUGGCUUAACAGCUUGCCAGCAGAAUCAAUUGGGAGUUGGGAGGACCUGGAAGCCGCAUUCCUUGAUAACUUUCAGGGCACGUAUGUGCGACCACCAGACGCUGACGACCUAAGCCAUAUAAUUCAGCAGCCAGACGAAUCGGCCAGACAAUUCUGGACACGGUUCUUAACUAAGAAAAAUCAAAUCGUCGACUGUCCGGAUGCGGAGGCCCUCACGGCCUUCAAACAUAACAUCCGCGACGAGUGGCUUGCCCGGCACCUGGGACAGGAAAAGCCGAAAUCCAUGGCAGCCCUCACAUCAUUCAUGACCCGCUUCUGCGCGGGAGAGGACAGCUGGCUAGCCCGCAGCAACAACCUCAGCAAAAUUUUUGGCAGUCCGGAUAUCAAGGACCGCAAUGGCAGGUCGCAUCGCAACAAGAACAAACGCCGCAUUAACGGCGACAAUAGUGAGGAUACGGCAGUCAAUGCUGGAUUCAGAGGCUCUAAACCCGGUCAGCGGAAAAAGCCAUUCAAAAGAACUACUCCGGGUCCGUCCAAUUUGGACCGAAUACUCGAUCGCUCGUGCCAGAUACACGGCACCCCCGAAAAGCCAGCUAACCACACCAACAGGGACUGUUGGGUAUUCAAGCAGGCAAGCAAGCUAAUUGCCGAAAACAACGACAAGGGGCUGCAUAGCGAUGAUGAGGAAGAGACCCGACCGCCGAACAAUAGAGGACAGAAGGGUUUCCCCCCACAUGUGCGGACGGUGAACAUGAUAUAUGCAACCCACAUACCCAAAAGGGAGCGGAAGCGUGCACUCAGGGAUGUAUACGCGAUGGAGCCAGUCGCCCCGAAGUUCAACCCAUGGUCCUCCUGCCCGAUCACUUUUGAUCGAAGGGACCACCCCACCAGCAUACGCCACGGCGGAUUUGCCGCAUUGGUUUUAGACCCAGUCGUCGAUGGAUUUCACCUCACCAGAGUCCUGAUGGACGGCGGCAGCAGCCUGAACCUGCUUUAUCAGGAUACAGUGCGCAAAAUGGGCAUAGACCCCUCAAGGAUUAAACCCACAAAGACAACCUUUAAAGGCGUCAUACCAGGUGUAGAGGCCAAUUGUACAGGCUCAGUUACACUGGAAGUGGUCUUCGGAUCCCCGGAUAACUUCCGAAGCGAGGAGUUAAUCUUCGACAUAGUCCCGUUCCGCAGCGGCUAUCAUGCCCUGCUCGGACAUACCGCGUUUGCAAAGUUCAACGCGGUGCCGCACUACGCAUACCUCAAGCUCAAGAUGCCAGGCCCUCGAGGAGUCAUCACGGUCAACGGAAACACUGAACGCUCUCUCCGAACGGAGGAACAUACAGCGGCUCUCGCGGCAGAAGUACAACGCAGCCUCUUAAGGCAAUUCUCGAGUCCGGCCGUUAAGCGACCAGACACGGCUAAACGCGCCCGGAGUAACCUACAACAAGACCACCUGGCACGUUCCGAGCACGCGUAGCAAUGCGACCCCAACCCCAGCCCCUGCCAAAUUGCAAGACUGGUCCUUCGCGUACAUCAUUACGCUCUGGAGAUACCAUGGGCAUAGGGGGAGGGGCACGACCACGGUAGGCCCAGACUGCGGCUUAACCACACCAGGGGCUCUCAAGUGUGUCGUUCUUUUUUUUUCCUCUUUUUCUUUUUUACCCACAGGACUCCAUUCAUCAGAGGCCCUGUCCGGCAGUAGACCUGCCGAACUCAAGAUGCAACAGCUAGGGAAGGAGAAAGGCUACGACGAAUAUCCAGGUGGUCUCCAUUACGAGCAUUAAAUCUGUUUUAUACACCAUUCCGCAGCCUACCCCUGGAGGGGGACAUGUUUAAUAGUCCCAUCCCUUGCUUAUCACACUAUUUGUAUCGUUCUGCAUUCACAGCAGUAUUUCUUGAAUAAACAAUGCAUCACCUUUUUUCUUAUAAUUGCAUUUCUUUCUUAUACAUAUGUUCAUUUAUGACAUGUUGCAUCCGUACACUUUGGUACGGCUCAAUACACCAGGGGCUUAUGUUUCCCACAUCAUGGUGUGAUAAGUCCGAACACUUUCACAAGUGCGGCACCCCGAACUUAUAGCAUUAUAUGCAUCGGCUCCGAAUCAUGUCUUGGGUCAAUAGUUGGGUUUGCCAGGCUCCCAUGUUUUGGUACCUUACGUUCCGUUGUAUCGGCUAAGGUAGCACUGGGAGAACCACUGCGAUUGCGCCCCAGUUGAGCUGGGCGAGCGCCUCAGUGGAGAAAGCUAAAACUGACCGUCAUGAUGAGGCGAGAGCCGGUCGCUGUUCGAGAGGUCUUUUUCGAGUCCCUAAAGACUUAUGCCGCUUAGAGCGAGGAACCGGCUUUUAUCCGGCCCAGGCGUGGAUAGCACCCCAAAUUCGGCCUUCCGAACACUAGGGGCUUCACCGAAAUUUAAAAUUAUAGAAUUCUAUGGCUAAGUGAGAGUGUUCAAGCAUUAUAAGUCUGGUUGCCUCGUUCGUUGUGUUGAGCGCCUCCCUAGAUGGACCCAAAAAUGGGAACAAGAGUGCUCAAAUUCACCCCGAACACCCCAGCACUCGUGGCAUGGGGGCUGAAGCCGACGACUUGCCAUCUCUCAGAUUUGAUAAACGGCCGCACAGAAGGUAAUAUUUUAAAUUAACAAGCGUUGCUUAGCGCAUAUGAACAAAGUUUUCAGCGCACAAGAUAACAAAAUGAGAGUCUACUCAAAUAUUACAUCUUUGGAGCACUCACCCGCAAUAAUGCAGGGACCCUUCAGGACACUCUUAUAAUACAUCUCGGGCGUGCGAUACUCCUUGCCCGAUGGUGGCGCGUCCGUCACAAGCUUCUCAACAUCCAUCUUGCCCCAUUGCACCUUUGCGCGGGCAAGGGCCCGACGGGCACCUUCAAUACAAGCGGAGUGCUUGAUGACUUCAACCCAUGGACACGCAUCCACCAGCCGCCGCACCAGGCCGAAGUAGCUCCCAGGCAUGGCCUCCUUGGGCCACAGCCGAACUAUGAGGCCCUUCAUGGCCUGUUCGGCCACCUUGUGGAGCUGGACCAGCUGCUUCAGCUGGUCGCUAAGGGGCACCGAAUGUCCGGCCUCAGCAUACUGAGACCAGAAGACCUUCUCCGUCGAGCUCCCCUCCUCGGCCCUAUAGAAAGCGACAGCAUCGGACACGCUGCGGGGCAGAUCUACGAACGCUCCUGGAGAGCUCCGAAUUCGGGUAAGUGAUAGGUAAUUCACACUCACAUGCUUUGCAUGAAAAAUGCCUUACCCGCCGCUAUUUUCUUCAACGCCUCAAUUUCCUGGAGGGCCUUGUAGGCUUCGGCCUUAGCGGCUUUGGCACUCUCAAGAGCCGAUGCAAGCUCGGACUCUCGGGUCUUCGAGUCGCGCUCCAAACUCUCAUGUUUUUCCACGAGAGCCUGGAGCUCUUGCUGUACCUCUGCCACCCGCGCCUCCUGCUUCCGCGGCCGCAUUACGUUCGGCCGUGGACACCGCCUCCUUCAGGGUCGCCACCUCGCUCGUGGCCCCUGCAAUACCCACGUUAUCCUUGUCAUUCUUCUUGCAACCAAAUCCUUUUCUGUAAGGUACAAUUUUAAUAAGGUGUUACUCACCUUCCUUGUCCUCUAGCUGCUUCUUGGCAUGGCCGAGCUCGUUCUCGGACCGCUCGAGGCUUUGCUUCAAAGUAUUGACCUCCGCAGUCAGUGCGGCAGAGGUCAGCAGCACAGCCUACAAUCCCAUAUUGAAUAUUCUUUAUGACUCCUGCGUAUAUCUUUUUAGAUCCUCAGUCCGGCUUUUUUUUUGAACACCGAACCGAGCAUCAGGGGCUACUGUCUAUGCGGUACUAUUUUACAUAUAUCAAAAUUCUUACCUCAAAGCCUGUUAGAAGGCUGCUGCAGGCUUCGGUCAGCCCGCUCUUGGCGAGCUGAACCUUCUGAAUCACCGCACUCAUGACGGUGCGGUGUUCCUCUUUGAUGGAAGCGCCGUUGAGCGCCUCCAGCAAGCUAUCCGACGCCUCCGGUUGGACGGAGGCCGCCGGCGCCACGGUCUCACCCUUCUUACCAAGGGGCCGCCCGCCGGACUCCGAAGCCACUACAGGUUCCGGUGCGGAGUCCGGUGCAAAGUCCGGGAGGUUGCCCUGCGGCACCUCCGGGGCCUCCUCCUCCUGGCGGGUCCCUUCUCGGGAUCCCACCUCGGCAUCGUCCGUAUCACGGGGGGUGGAGGCGGUCGGAAGGGAAUCCACAUCCGACGCACCCAAGGACCCGCUCGACGAAGCGGGAAGAUCAUCCUUGGGCGGACUGCAGGGUUGUAUGCAGCAUUAGAAAGACACCAUGUGGCGAAAAGGAAAAUCAUGAAGUUAUUCGGGAGUCUGGAUACUUAUGAUCUCGCUAGGGGCUUGGCCCUUGGAGGCCAAUCCUCGUCGUCGUCGCCGGCGUUGGCAGAGCAGUCUGGGGGAAGAGUCCUUCCCUUCUUGGACCCUUCGGCCUCCCUUGUUGGGGAGGCCUUCCUUUUCUUCCCUCCCCCCGCUGGGGGAGAGGCCUCUUUCUUCUCCUCCUCGCCUUCGUGGGAGGAGUUCGCCUCAGAGUGAUCGUCCGAUGACACCUGAAAACGGGAACUCUUUCGAGUGCCCGUGGCCUUCUUCUUGGCUUCUUCUCCGGCACCACGUGGGGUGCCGGAACCAGCAGCCCCGUUAAGCGGGCGUCCGCUGGGUCUUCUGGCAAAGGGGCCGGACAGUUAGUCUGCUCGGCCUUCUUUAGCCAGUCUUGUCAAAGGAGAGGGAGUUUAGAUCCCGCAUAGAGUCAAACUAUGGAAAACAAGUGUCCCGUAAAGGGUAAAAUCGCUUACCUCGCUAGCCGGACGCUGCGAGCUGAAUCCGCGAUCUUCGGUAGCGGAUGCGGGAGCCUCGACGCCCUUAAACAGCACCCUCCAGGCCUCUUCGUACGUAGUGUCGAAGAGCCCGCUCAAAGUCUGGUGCCGCGCCGGAUCGAACUCCCACAUAUUGAAGUCCCGUUGUUGGCACGGGAGAAUCCGGCGGAUGAGCCUGGACUACGUUGACAAGCUUGAGCUUCUUGUUCACUAGCUUUUGUAUGCAGGCUUGAAGUCCGGUCAGCUCCUCUGAAUCACCCCAUGUCCGGCCACUCUCUUUCCAGGAGGUGAGCCGUAUGGGGAUGUCAGAUCUGAAUUCGGGGGCCGCUGCCCAUUCAGGGUCAUGCGGCUCGGUGAUGUAGAACCACCCCGAUUGCCACCCCUUAAUGGUUUCCACGAAGGUGCCCUCGAGCCAAGUAACAUUGGGCAUCUUGCCCACCGUGGCGCCUCCGCACUCCGCUUGGCUGCCCUUGACAACCUUCGGCUUGACACUAAAGGUCUUGAGCCACAAGCCGAAGUGGGGCUGGAUGCAGAGGAAGGCCUCACACAUGACGAUAAACGCCGAGAUGUUGAGGAUGAAAUUCGGGGCCAGAUCAUGGAAAUCCAGGCCGUAGUAGAACAUGAGCCCCCGGACAAAGGGAUGGAGUGGGAAGCCCAGUCCGCGGAGGAAAUGGGAAAGGAAUACUACCCUCUCAUGGGGCCUGGGGGUGGGGAUGAGCUCCCCCUCGUCGGGGAGCCGGUGCGCGAUGUCGCUGGACAGAUAUCCGGCGCUGCGCAGCUUCUGGAUGUGCCCCUCCGUAAUGGAGGAGGCCAUCCACUUGCCUCCCGCUCCGUACAUAGUUGGAGAAGGUUGAGGUGAGAUGUGCGGACUUGGGCGCUGGAGCUCGGGUUCGCAGAAAUGGAUAAGCAAAGGAGGAAGAAGGCGUAGGUAAAAGGGUUGGAUCUUUAUCCCCUUAUAUGGGCGGACGAAACCAUGCGUCCCCACCGGCCUGAUAAAAAUCGCUUAUCUCCCAAGCGCCGCAAUCAAUGGCGCGGUUGGGUUACCCACGUCCGUAUUGAUGGGAAUCCCGGAAUAAGGGGAACACGAUCUCUGCUUCGACAAAACGUGCCAAGGAAACCACUUCACUAAAUGCGCGGAGGUGGUAUAAUAAAAACGAUUCGAGUAAAAGCUUGGUGGUGGUGUGACGUCACGCCACAAAAUACGUCAGCAGAUUGAACUUGUGUAAACAUUAUUCUCUCUACGGUGGUAUGUGGAAUUUAUUUUGCAGAGCCGGACACUAUCCUGGUGUUCACAAUCUUCUAUAAAUUAUUCGGAGGAGGAACCCGCCUUGCAAUGCCGAAGACAAUAUGCGCGCCGGACUCGUCUUCAUUGAAGCCUGGUUCAGGGGCUACUGAGGGAGUCCUGGACUAGGGGGUGUCCGGAUAGCCGAACUAUCAUCAUCGGCCAGACUCCAAGAGUAUGAAGAUACAAGAUUGAAGACUUCGUCCCGUAUCCGGAUGGGACUUUCCUUGGCGUGGAAGGCAAGCUUGGCGAUACGGAUAUGUAGAUCUCCUACCAUUGUAACCGACUCUGUGUAACCCUAGCCCUCUCCGGUGUCUAUAUAAACCGGAUGGCUUUAGUCCAUAGGACGAACAAAAAUCAUACCAUAUGCUAGCUUCUAGGGUUUAGCCUCCUUGAUCUCGUAGUAGAUCUACUCUUGUAAUACCCGCAUCAUCAAUAUCAAUCAAGCAGGACGUAGGGUUUUACCUCCAUCAAGAGGGCCCGAACCUGGGUAAAACAUCGUGUCCCUUGUCUCCUGUUACCAUCCGCCUAGACGCACAGUUCAGGACCCCCUACCCGAGAUCCGCCGGUUUUGACACCUACAACCUUCCAUUUCAUUGGAGCCCCGCUGGUUGCCAUUGGAGCGCCCCUCGUCAAGGCCGUCCACUUCUGAUCCCUUUUCCCUGACAUGGAACCAGAUCGUGCAUAGUUCAUGGUAGCGUAACGAAUUUUCAAGGAAGCACCAGACACCUUCAUCGAUUGUCCUCAUCACCAUCUUCCUGGUAUCUCCGACCGAGAACACUGCAGCAUGCAGGGUUACAGAUCUAUAUAACAAUGUAUUGUCACUAACCUAAUAGUAACCAUGCAUAUCUAUACGACAUGCCCAGGACUCACUGAUGAUUGGGUAACGAUGAUGGAUGCGCUCGGUCAAAGCCACCAAAUCGUAUUCCUCCACCGCCGCCGUACACGAUGGUCAUGAAGAUGCCAAAGUCUAAGACCUGUCAGUUGUUCUCCACCUCUCUUAGUGCUUCUUCUAGCGAUGCCAUCGCCGUCACUGCAUGAUACAAACACGUAGUACAAGGGGAUCCAGUUCUCGCAAGAACAUGUAGAGCAGACAUACUAAACCGAGGCGAGGAUAUCCAACAUGGCCGCCCAGGUACCUUUCUAGCCGCAUUAAUUGAGGAUUUGCGUCAAGUCGAGGAGGGUUUUGGGGUCGUCCUCCACGACAAGCACCCUCAUCCCCGCUUGGAAAUCCUGGUCGAAAGUGUCUCCGCCAGUGCCCGAAGGGGAGGCGCCGCCGUUCUCCAUGGCACGCACAAUCACACCUAGUGCUCAUCAGGGGGUACUCCUGGUGAGUUGACAAAAAGAGAGUGGAGAAGGUCAUUAGAUACAACUCAGACAUAUAAAGACGGAACCCUAUUUUCUCCUCACAAAAUGCGAUCCAUUUACUAAUGCACGAAUAUUUGCCAUGUUUAGCUUAAUCUAUGCCGUGUAUUAAAACUCCAUAUAACGUAAAACCCCAUAUAAUGUAGCAACCUUCUCAGUCCAUGUAGUAUAUUAAAGGUGGAAUAUUCCAAUGGCACAUCUACUUCUCGGCACGUGCCCUUGUGGGCCCCAUAUGAAGUGCCCCCUUGCCCUCAUCCUCUUUCCUUGUCUCUCCUAGCCCAUGUUCUACGGCGUCGCCAUCUCCGAAAUCUCGCUCUCACCACUUACCCCCUCCAAUGCUAGGCCACAAGACCACCACAACCUACUAAUUCUCGAGAGCACAGAAUGUUGCAAUGUCGAUGUCGUGUUGCUAUAAUGCCAGACCACAACGUUGCAAUGGUUGCCCGAUGUUGGUACGCACUGGACCACCGCGUGCUCGUCACAGGGAGACAGACAUGCUGAUAUCCCUAUGACAAGCACACAGUGGUCCAGUGGGUUGCAACAUUGGUCAGCCAUUGCAACACAGUGGUAUUAGUGAUACAUCAACACAACAUGGCCCUUGAAACAUCCUGUGCUCUAGGAGAUUAGCAGCAUGUGGUCUUCCGGUGACCUAGAGUUGGAGGAGGUAAGUGGCGCUAGCGAGAUUUGGGAGGUGGUGACACCGUAGAGUGUGGGGUAGGAGAGACAAGGGAAGAGGACGAGGGCAAGGGGAGCACUUUACAUCGGUCCUGCAGAGGUACAUGUCAAGUAGUCAAGGCGUGAUUGGAAUCCUCCACCUUUAAUAUGCUACAUUGCGUGAGAAGGUUACUACAUUAUAUGGAAUUUUAAUACGUUAUAUGAAGUUUCAAUGCACUGCAUUCAUUAAGCUAUACGUGGUAAAGCCUAGUGCAUUAGUGAAUGGAUUGCUUUUUGUGAGGAUAAAAGAGGUUUCCGUAUUCAUAUGUCUAAGUUGUAUCUUUUGACCUUCUCCCCUCUCUUUUUGUCACGUCACCAGCAAUUUCCUCUUAUGAGCACUAGGUGCGUGCGUGCGUGCGUUCCAUGGAGAAUGGUGACGCCUUCCCUUCGAGCGCCGACGAUGAGACUUCCGGCCAGGAUUUUCCAGCGCAGAUGAGGGUGCUCGUCAUGGAGGAUGACCCAAAAAGCCUCCUUGACUUGACAAAUCCUCGAGCGAUGUGGCUACAAAGGUAACUAGGCAGCCAUGUUGGAUCUCAUCGCCUUAGUUUAGCAUGUCUCCUAUACCUACUCUUGCAGGAUAUGGAUCCUCUCGUACUACGUUUUUGUGUCGUGCAGUGACGGCGAUGGCAUGUCUGAAAGAAGCGCUGUGAGAAGUGGAGGAUAACCAAGAGGUCUUGAAAUUCUACAUCAUCAUGACCAUUGUGCACGGCGGCUGUAGAUGGUUUAAGCUGGGACAGAAUUCGAGGACUACUUUUUUUUGUGAACUGUUUCUUUUUUCGCUGUAGAUGGUUUAAGGUGGGACAGAAUUUGAGGACUCCUUGAGGCAUCGCACCCGACGGUGAAAAAUACAUAAUUUUAUUAUCGGAUGGCUAUUUUUUUAGUUACUGAGGAUUUGCGUGAUUACUCGUAUGGUGCCUCCAAUUAGUAAAUAUAAGAUAUAAGAUAAGAUGGUUGAGCGGGUUUUUUUGACAGGAGGAAACUGCCGUGGACAUGUAGGGAUAGAAACAGAUUAGGGAAGGGAUGGGAUGAACGAUCGGCAGGAUCGUGGUCCAGCUGGGAGGAAAAGGAAACUUAUGUUCUUUUUAGAUAGUAGAGAUAAGGUCAUACGGGCCAACACAUUCAAAGGCAUUUUUCUUUUCAAUUGAGAUGUACGGAUUCAUGUGUCUAUAUACAAAGAUUCUGUUCAUAUACUACAGUCCAAUGCCUAUACGAGCCACCCCUUGCUGCAAGCGCGCACACACACACACACCCGUGCAUGUUCUGAUAGGAAAGCAAAAAGGCUAAUAAAGUCCUAAAAAGGGCUAAUAAAGUAGAACGUGCUAGCGUGCUGUCAGAAAAAAGUAGAAUGUGCUAGCUAUGCAAUCAACCCUUACCAAUCGGAUUCAGCAAGGGAAAAACAAUCCGGUUACACACAUUGGCAUGAUCGCUGAUGUCAUUAGUUAAAAUUACCUGAUGCUAUAUUCUACCUCCGUUGCUAAAUACUCAUCUCCCAUAUUCACCUCCGUUCCUAAAUCGUUGAACGUUUAGUGGAAUUGACCGUGUGAAUUCUGGCGCACGGUAACCAUAUAUAUAUCCCUGUCCGGCUUCCUAGUAAUAGACGUGUCAAGUGCAGCAAACAACAACAUCUAUCUCGAUCAUAAUUUAAAUAUAAGACAAUUAUAUAUUAUCGAAUGUAAACUCCAUUACCAAGCGGUCCGCUUGGUAAGAUACCAAAAAAAGUUGCAAUCAAUAAUAAAUGAAUGUAAACUCCAUCGAUAAAAAGUGACCGCGUGAAUUGAGUAUGUACUCCCACGAGAAGGGUAAUAAUGGACGGAUGCCGUUCCCUAUGCGUUCCACGGGCGAGGCAGAAACGUGCGGCACAUGUUGGCCGGCUCUCUACAUUGGCAAUCUCAGGGCGGCGGGUCUCCUGGUGUAUUGCUGGGGGCCGUGCUCUGGCAGGCAGACUUGGAGCACCUCCUACUACUUGACGAGAAUGGCAGGGGGCGAUGGAAGGGUUUGCCUAGCCGGUGGGCGGAUCGGUGCAGGUUCGGAGGUAAAUUUCCCUUUGUCACGUUGCUCCGAUUGGCACGACUCUGGAUUGUGCACGCCUCGGUGGCUUGCACGAUGCAUGCUGCGAGGAGUGGGAGGUUGGGCGAUGCCAUGAAUGUGCGGUGGGGCUGGAUGGCAAUUACUCCCCUCUAGAGCACGAUUACGCCAUACCCCCACAAGUCCAUUGUCAUUCCACCUUGCGGCAGCGAAAAUCUCUCAUCUCUGUCUAGUUUGCGUUCUCCACUGCUUUUGAUGAGUGGUGGCGGAUUAGAGGUUGAAGAUGGAGUCAAAGAUACUGGAGAUCGCAAGCGGAGAUGAGGUGAAGAUGAAUCGGAUGCAGGAGAUUAGUUCUUGGUUUGCGACCAAGGACAAUUUGUACGAGGUGACGUGCUUGAUCUGCUAGAGGCUGACAGUGGAGGAGGACGAGAGGCUAUCACUGGAGGGGCAAAGCAAGCUCCCCCUGCAAGUAGAGCUCUGCUCCAUGGAGGAGGCGGAAUCAGAGGAUCCGAAAUAGGAGGGGANNNNNNNNNNNNNNNNNNNNNNNNNNNNNNNNNNNNNNNNNNNNNNNNNNNNNNNNNNNNNNNNNNNNNNNNNNNNNNNNNNNNNNNNNNNNNNNNNNNNNNNNNNNNNNNNNNNNNNNNNNNNNNNNNNNNNNNNNNNNNNNNNNNNNNNNNNNNNNNNNNNNNNNNNNNNNNNNNNNNNNNNNNNNNNNNNNNNNNNNNNNNNNNNNNNNNNNNNNNNNNNNNNNNNNNNNNNNNNNNNNNNNNNNNNNNNNNNNNNNNNNNNNNNNNNNNNNNNNNNNNNNNNNNNNNNNNNNNNNNNNNNNNNNNNNNNNNNNNNNNNNNNNNNNNNNNNNNNNNNNNNNNNNNNNNNNNNNNNNNNNNNNNNNNGACAAGGGAGAUCCUCAUUCUGAUUGUGGAAGACGAUCCCAGAGUCCAUGCAACAAAACUCAAGGAGGUCACCGCAUUUCCCCCGGUGUUGCCCCUGUCUAUGAAACUUGGCUUGCUCCACAGCAGCGGAGUAGGGUUGUCCCACGCCGGCAACAACUAUGGUUGCUGGGUGGGGAGGACUCCGACAAGGAGGAAGUGCGGUCAUUCGGAUAUGAAGGUACCUUUUUUGCUACUCUAGAUAUCUGCAUUCUCCUUUGUGAAAUUGUGAAGAGAGAAUUGCACAUACAAGAAGUUGAGUCGGUAAAUUGCAAUCUAGAAAAAAAAUGAUGCAAGACAUCUUUCCGUCUUAGGAUAUGGUAUUGCUCUAAGUGAAUUUAGCCAAAUUGAAGAUAAGGAGAUUUUAUAAAGUUUAUUAGUUGUGGGAUAAAAGUCAAGAACCAUUUGGUGCCAAAAAAAUCUCGGGCAUCCAUGAUUUUGGUCUGAGGAUAUGGUUGAUUUUGGAGAUUAGUUUUCAAUGAUUGUGAGGAUGUGAGUUGCCUUGGGGGGAAUGGGGGAAAAUUGAAAUCUAUAGAGAUAAUUGAAACCGAGUUGAUAGCAAGUGUGUUGUUGGGCCAGGUAUAGUUGUCUCUUUUGAUCUAGGAGGCCCAGGUCUUGGUGGGUUAAAAAUAGAUUUUGGCAAUCCACUUUCCCUUUCUUUUGGUUACUUAUAAAUAGCUUGCCUUUACCCUAGGUUGUGGAUGAGAGUGAGUUAUCUGGCGAGUUAGGGUUUCCCUGUGAGCUGCCGGUGACUUGCAAGUGAGGAUAUGGAUGAGAACUUUGGCAGACACAGGGGCACCCAGAGAUUUAGUAAUGAAGGGAGGGGUAACUAUAAAUAUCAUAGGAAUGAAGAUGAAGGAUACCGGAUUAGACACAUAAAUCCAAGAGCAAAAUGGGUGAUCUGGGUGGGAAAUCUGGUGAUUUAAGUAGAAACUUGCAAUUUCAUGAUCAGCGAGGACCUCACUCGAAUGACGGUGAUGCCCAAACUGGUGGAUCUCUUCAACAAGACGGCAAGAAGAGUGCGGAAUGUAAUUUCUUACAGCAAGGAAACAUGUUAAUAUCGGGACACCUUGAGGCCGGGUGUGAGUUUGGUACUGCAAUGCGUCAACAAGACUUCUAUAAAGUGAUGGAUCCUAAGGGAUGGCCAUCCGUGGCAAAUAUUAUGGACUAGGUGUCAACAAGGGUGGAGAUGGGCUUGGCAUCAAGCAUGGAUGCAAGCGGGAGUCUGUAAAGCGUAUUGUUUCUUGUGAAAAGGUGUUACCUGUGGAGAAUACUGCCAACGACAUAUAAGGCAAGGUGGGUGGUGGCAUUGUUUUAGUUAAAGGUGAAUAACGAGGAGCCAAAUUAGGACACGACAAAGCCUAGGGAGAGGAGAUGAGUGGUGAACCGCAUAUAGCAGGCACAGGGUGCUUUCUUAAGGCCAUAUGGGUACUUAUGCAGUCAAUGUAACCUGAAGGUUGGCGACUGUAGAUUGUUUAGACAAGAAGAAUAUGGAGAGAAAAUAGUUGUAGCUUCUGGUUGAUGAAUUUUCACCACCUUUUAUUGUUUUCCAUUUAUUUGAGACAAACAUGAACUUGGUUAAGCACAAAGGUGUAAAAGCAUUGGAGGGUAAUAUCAGCGACAGACUUGUUGUGUAAUGGACUAGUUCGGAAAUAAUGUGAGUACUCAUCAAGAAUAAUGACAUAGAAUUCAUAAUAAGGGAAAACGCAAUGGGAAAAUUCACAAAUCAUAAUGUAUUUUUUGGAGGGGCAGUAGUAAAAAAAAAGGAAGAAUCAAUACGUAGGUAGGCUGUCAUCCAAACACGAGUUUGCCGAAUUUUUUUUAUUACAUGAUGGAAGUAAUUUUGUAGCUACUACAAAAAUAUAAGCUUGCCCCCAGUGCCUAAGACUUCAAUGCCAUAGGUUGCUAGAGCUGGUUGCAGAGCAAACAAUGGUGCCACCUUUAUUCAUCGAGCGGAAGUCGUAGAUGUCUCCCGAGCUAUUUGAUCUCCGGGGAAUUCUCAUUGUUGCUAGGUCCUUGAAAGAGAAACCAUAGGGAUCAAAUUGAACUGAAAACUAUAUAUCACAAGGAAGAUUAUUAAAUAAAAUUAAGUUCUUCAUAAUAGAUGAGGAAACUAAAAUUUGCUGAGAUCAAAUCAAUAACAAGAGUAGUCGAUCCAAUAGUUGUGAUGGGGAGCCUCUGAACCAUUUCCAACUAUAAUAUUAAGGGGAGUGUGCAUGAAUGAGGAAUAAGACUUGUUUCAUCAAUGUCCUAGGAGGCUUCAUGGUCCAUGAACCAAUCGUCAGUGGAGUUGGGCUAGUGAUACAUUUCUUAUUCGAGUUUUCAUCAUGUAGCAUGCAACAUUUUUUAAAGCUAGUAUGAUCUAAGUAUAACUCGACAUAGGCUUGAUGGAGUGCUUGGAUGAGGGUAGAACCAGCAGGAAUGGGAAGCAUCCAAGUGCCACGCCACUAGCUUUAGUGGGAAGGUCACCAACCAUGGAGCGAAUUUUACCGACCAAGGAAACUAGGGAUGUCCAUGUUGUCCAUGUCCCAUGUGGUUGGGUGAGCCACGUCUAUGACUUCUGAUGCACCUAUGCUCCGAGGAGCUUCCACUGGGACAACUGUGAUUCAAAAGGUCAUUUAUGGAGCACAUUCAUUGUCUCGUUCCCUGCUGCCAUGCUCCUAGAAGUUGGCGAUUGCAUCGCCACUUUUUGGCAAGAGUUGUUGUUGAUGGUGAGUGUCGCAGUACCCUCGGCAUGCUUGUGCUGAUACAUUGUGAUUGCCUUAAGAAACAACGAUGAGUGUGCCUAGACGAAGGUGGGAAAGGGCAAAUGUAGGUGGAGUAUGGAGGCCAUCACCUGAAAUAUGUGGCGGAGGCCACAAAUCAUCACCAAUGUGAGAGGGUUGUAGGUUACCAGUUUCUCAUCAUUGGCGAGAGAGUGAACGAGCACCCUGAGGCACCAGUAGUGGGUGGCGAUGAUCAUGUCACCUUGAAAUGUUGCCUAGAAAUUGGUGCCAAUGUGGAUCGUGCAUUUGGUAAGCUUGUCAUCGAAGAACAGGUGCAUGUGCUACCACAUGGCAUUGGCUACGUUCUCUAUUGACAUGUACACAUCGUAUAGCUCACUAGAUAUCGUUGCAUAGCCACAUGAUGAUGGUGAGAUCUUCCUUGUGCCACUUGAAGUCUCAAGAUGCAAGAUCAUGGUCAUGCUAAGGUCAAGGUAGUUGAAUUUGGUGUCCACAAGUUGAAAGAGAUGCUUCCACUUGGUGUAGUUUUUGGUGGCCAAGUUGAGUUUGAAUGGUGAUAUUGGUCUGAUGCAUGGAAGGAUGAGAGAAGAAAGAGUUUCUUACACUAACAUGGACAAUCAGAAUGUUGCUGCCAUCGGAGGACUUGACAGUGGACUUGCUGCUAGUGGGGGACGUAGUAGAGUUCUCACUCAUUAUGAAGGAUUAGAAAGGAACUACUCUGAUGCCAAGAAAUUUUCUGGGAACCAAUUUUUAUUAUAUUUAUGCUUCUGGGUCAUGUAUAUAUACACAUCACAUGUUAAUUCAAUAGUGAGCUCUACAACCUAAUUAAGUACAUAACGGUCGAUGCGUUAGGAGCAUCCUAGAGUGUUGGCACAUAAGGUGGUGUUUAUGUUGUGCAUCUAUUGAGAUGAGUGCACACCACAAAAGAUCGAUGGCUCUAGGAGGUGAUAAUCCCUUCUCUCAUCCAUUGGUGGAAAGAAAAACAAAGUAUUUCCCAACAUCUAGCAUAAGUGUGUUCACUGGAACUGGAGAUGUCAAGAGAUUUGUCCCCAGAAGACAUAUGAGGGAGGGGUCGCGAGCGAGGAGAAUUUGCUAGACUUUGGAAUAAUUUUUAAAGGAGAACCCAACGAUGAAUGUUCCACACCAUGAUCACGAGCUUUGUAAACUAUUUCUUUCAUGGGAAAAAACAUCACCAGUGCUAAGGAGCUGAUGAUCAAGGUAGAACACCACAAAGGAACAUAAGAGAAAUGGGUUUGCCAGGACAACACACAUAUGCAUCCAAGCAGUUGAAAACACACACUACAUGAAUCAAGAAAUUUGUUGUCUGCUUAAACAUUCUUUGCCAUCAACUUGCUGACGAUAAACAAAGUCCGAAAAGAGCUACUUUGCCAUGAGCUUUUCCUUGGGCGGAUAGAAAAGUCUUUGUCGUCAGCUAAACUCCGUCUUUAUCGUCAGCCGAAUAAUAAUAACCAAAAUCCGUCUUUGCCGUUAGCCUCAAACAUCACAGACGACAAAGAAGUGGGUAAAUAUUAGAAAAAAACACAAGGGCGCUGCUCGUCCUCCUCUGUCAAGGUUGAAGUGAGAUAGGGCCAUUGCAUCAUGCUCCUCGUGGGGAAGAUGCUAGAUGGCAUAGAUAUGGCAAGGAGGCGGGGUGUUGGCGCCGGGUAAGAGGCAGUGCCAAGGAGGAGGUGCAGAUUCAAGGUGCAAGUGCAAGGGCGAGCCACGAGUCUUGUCGUCAGGGAGUUUUGCAGGCUGCAUGGUCGGACGGAUCCAUGUGCAUGGAACUUCGGUAGGAUGAAAACGAGUCAAGGGUGAUGGAGGGAGCUUCUGGGUGGCAGCCAUGUCCUUGAGGAGAGAGAGACAAAGAUCUGGGAGUAGAGAGAAAACACUGGAGAGAGCAAGAGCCAGGAGAAGAAAGGAAGGGAGGAGGAAGGUGAAGGAGACACGCGAUGGGCAGCGGUGCUCCGGUGGCUACGGCCACCGGUGUCGGCCUCCGGCGAGGAGAAGGAGGUGGUCUUGGGUUAGCAAAGGAGACGAUAAGGAGGUCCUCAGGCGGCACCAGGAGGGAGGUCAUGUGGCGGUGCGGUGCGAGGGCUGGGCAAGAGGUGGUGCAGCGACGCCGGGAUGGAGGUGGUGCGGCGGUGUAACAUGGGGCAGUAGGUGGUGUGGCGGCGCAGGGUGGGAUAAGAGGUGGUGCGGCGGCAUGCGUCGAGAUGGAAGUGCGACAGCAGUGCAGCAUGUGGGAGGAGGUGGUGCAGCGGCACGGGGAGGGAGCUGGUGCGACGGUGUGGGGCGGGAGGUGGUGCGGUGGCGGGAGAAGGAGAGAAAGAGAGAAGGGAGCGAGGUGCUUGUGGGGUGGGGUUGGACAAGUACGUGCGUGUGUGGGGGUGGUGUGGUGCCACGUCAUAAAUCUGCAUGAUCGGUCCGCGGGAUGUGCUUUCUCUUUGCCAACGACCAAAAAAACUGAUGGAAAAGUAUGUCUUUCCUAUCAGUCAAAUAAAAACAGCCGACUAAGCCUGUCUUUCCUGCUAGUCAAAUAAAAAUAGAUGGUUGGUGCCAUGCACCGGUACCAAUGCACCCGUUUAGUCCCGGUUGGUGCCACCAACCGGGACAAAAGGCCUGGUGCUGCCCGCGUCGCGGCCAAAAGUUUAGUCCCACCUCAUUAGUUGAGAGAACUCGAGAGUGGUUUAUAAGCGCUACUGCGCCCACCCUCUCGAGCUCCUCUCAACUGCAGGCUUUCGAGCCUAAUUUGUGUUACACUGUGCCUGUGGGGCUACUAGGCCUACUGCGGGCCUGAAUCCUGGUCCAUGGUGGGUUUCUAGUCGUAUUCAGGCCGUCGUGGCCUAGUAGGUGGCACUUUUCUUUAUUUUUUUGUUUUCUUUUUUGCUUUAUUUAUUUUUAUUUUUUUCUACUUACAGCAAAAUACUUACUAGUUUUUCAUGUAAUUCUUUUUGCUUUUAGGUAAUAAAAAUUAUGAACUUUCUGUUAGUGCCAUUUGUUUUCCAAUUUGAAUAGUUUAAAUUUGAUUUUUUUUGAAAUUUGUGUGAAUCACUAGUUUUUGAAUAACUUUACUAUAAAAAUAGAUUUUUGAGUGAUUCUUUUUCCUGCUAUUUAAAAUUAAUAUGUUUUAUCAUUAUAUUCAGAAACAGAUUUUGUUAUUUUAGUUUCUAACAAAAAAAAUUCUUUAUGAUAAUUCUUUUUGCUAUUAAAGUUUCUAACAAAAAAAUUUCUUUAUGAAAUUUCUUUUUUGCUUUUAAUGUUUUGAACAGAAAAUACUUUGAUAAUUUUUGUUGCAUAAAUUUUAUAUAAUUUUAGUUUCAAUAAUACUAGAGGUUUAUAAAAGUUUCUUUGUUGAUUCCUUUUGCUAUUGGAGUUUUAUAAAAGAUUUUUAGUUGAUUCUUUUUUGCUAUUAAAGGAUAUUAUAGUUUUUUUUUGUUGAUCAUAACAGAAUAUUUUAAUUGAUUAUUUUGAGUUCAUUCUUUUUGCUAUUUGUUCAUUCUUUUUGCUAUUAGUUCAUUCUUUGAGCUAAAUGACCCUUAAAUUGAAAAGCACUACAAAUGAACUCUGAAAAGGUUGAAAGUUGGCAUGGUAUCAUCCUUUCACCCACAUAGCAUGUGCUAAAAAGUUGAGAGGGUUACGACAAAAACUGGAUGCACUUCGUGUACAAAACAGACAAUCUCUUUGGAAGUAUCAGGGUUUCGGACGAAAACUCAUCUGUUAUAAAGGGAUUUCCUUUGUUCACAUGUAACUACAGUGAUAUUCUAGAUCAAAGUCAUCAUCAUAAUAGUUGUGGAUAGAAAGUCUUCACUUUUUCUUCGCUUGUGUCCUUUGCUUAUUGCGCCAUAACCAUGGAUAAUCUUCAUCGUUUAACAGGGUGCUUGGGUCAGCCUUGACUUUGAAGGGAGGAAUUUCAUGAAAAUUUUCAUAAUCUUCAGACAUGCCUGUCUUGCCCUCCAAUUCCACGAUGUCUAUUUUUCCUGAAAGAACUAUGUGGCGCUUUGGCUCAUCGUACGAUGUAUCCGCUUCCUUAUCUUUUCUUUUUCUCCGUUUGGUAGACAUGUCCUUCACAUAGAAAACUUGUGCCACAUCAUUGGCUAGAACGAAUGGUUCGUCUGUGUACCCCAGAUUGUUCAGAUCCACUAUUGUCAUUCAGUACUAUGGGUCUACAUGUACCCCGCCUCCUGACAGAUUGACCCAUUUGCACUUAAACAAAGAGACCUUAAAAUCAUGUCCAUAGUCAAGUUCCCAUAUGUCCACUAUGUAACCAUAAUAUGUGUCCUUUCCCCUCUUGGUUGCUGCAUCAAAGCGGACACCACUGUUUUAGUUGGUGCUCUUUUGAUCUUGGGCGAUUGUGUAAAAUGUAUUCCCAUUUAUCUCGUACCCUUUGUAAGUCAUUACAGUAAAAGAUGGUUCCCUCGCCAACGAGUACAACUCAUCAGAAACAGUGUUGUCACCCCUGAGACGUGUUUGCAACCAACUGCCAAAAGUCCUGAUGUGUUCACAUGUAAUCCAGUCGUCACACUGGUCCGGGUGUUUGGAGCACAGAAUGUUCUUGUGUUCAUCGACAUACAGGGUCACCAAUGUAGAAUUCUGUAGAACUGUGUAGUGUGCUUGAGACCAAGAAUGCCCGUCCCUACAUAUUAUUGAGUCCCCUCCUAGCGUGCCUUUUCCACUUAGUCUCCCCUCAUACCGCGAUUGAGGGAGACCUAUCUUCUUAAGGUCAGGAAUGAAGUCAACACAAAACCCAAUAUCAUCCUCUGUUUGAUGGCCCAUGGAGAUGCUUCCUUCUGGUCUAGCGCGGUUACGGACAUAUUUCUUUAGGACUCCCAUGAACCUCUCAAAGGGGAACAUAUUAUGUAGAAAUACAGGGCCAGAUAAUCUCGUCGACUAGAUGAACUAGGACAUCCGUCAUGAUAUUGAAGAAGGAUGGUGGGAACACCGGCUCAAAACUGACAAGACAUUGCGCCACAUCACUCAACCUUGGUAGGAUUUCUGGAUCGAUGACCUUCUGAGAGAUUGCAUUGAGGAAUGAACAUAGCUUCACAAUGGCUAAUCGAACAUUUUCUGGUAGAAGCCCCCUCAAUGCAACCGGAAGCAGUUGUGUCAUACUCACGUGGCAGUCAUGCGACUUUAGGUUCUGGAACUUUUUCUCUACCAUAUUUAUUAUUCCCUUUAUAUUCGAUAGCCAGACGGGACCUUCAUACUGAGCAGGCAUUGAAAGAAGAUUUCCUUCUCUUCUUUGGUAAGUGCGUAGCUGGCAGGACCUUCAUACUGCUUUGGAGGCAAGCCGUCUUUUUCGUGCAAACGUUGCAGGUCCUCCCGUGCAUCAGGUGUAUCUUGUGUCUUUCCAUACACGCCCAAGAAGCCUAGCAGGUUCACGCAAAGGUUCUUCGUCACGUGCAUCAUGUUGAUUGAAGAGCAGACCUCUAGGUCUUUCCAGCAGGGUAUGUCCCAAAAUAUAGAUUUCUUCUUCCACAUGGGUGCGCGUCCCUCAGCGUCAUUCGGAACAGAUAGUCCGCCGGGACCCUUUCUGAAGAUUACUUUUAAUCAUUGACCAUAACAAGUACGUGAUCACCAGUACACAUGGCGGGCUUCUUCCGGUGAUCUGCCUCGCCUUUGAAAUGCUUACCUUUCUUUCGACAUUGAUGGUUGGUAGGAAGAAAUCGACGAUGCCCCAGGUACACAUUCUUCCUGCAUUUGUCCAGGUAUAUACUUUCGGUGUCAUCUAAACAAUGCGUGCAUGCAUGGUAUCCCUUGUUUGUUUGUCCUGAAAGGUUACUGAGAGCAGGAUAAUCAUUGAUGGUUACAAACAGCAACGCAUGCAGGUCAAAUUCCUCAUGUUUGUGCUCAUCCCACACACGUACACUGUUUCCAAUCCAUAGCUGUAAAAGUUCUUCAACUAAUGGUCUUAGGUACACAUCAAUGUUGUUGCUGGGUUUCUUAGGGCCUUGGAUGAGAACUGGCAUCAUAAUGAACUUCCGCUUCAUGCACAACCAAGGAGGAAGGUUAUAGAUACAUAGAGUCAAGGGCCAGGUGCUGUGAUUGCUGCUCUGCUCCCCAAAAGGAUUAAUGCCAUCUACACUUAAACCAAACCAUACGUUCCUUGCGUCACCUGCAAACUCCUCCCAGUAUUUUCUCUCAAUUUUUCUCCACUGUGACCCGCCAGCGGGUCCUCUCAACUUCCUGUCUUUCUUACAGUCCUCUCUGUGUCAUCGCAUCAACUUGGCAUGCUCUUUGUUUCUGAACAGGCGUUUCAAUCGUGGUAUUUUAGGAGCAUACCACAUCACCUUGGCAGGAACCCUCUUUCUGGGGCGCUCGCCAUCAACAUCACCAGGGUCAUCUCGUCUGAUUUUAUACCGCAAUGCACCGCAUACCGGACAUGCGUUCAAAUCCUCGUACGCACCGCGGUAGAGGAUGCAGUCAUUAGGGCAUGCAUAUAUCUUCUGCACUUCUAAUCCUAGAGGGCCUAUGACCUUCUUUGCUGCAUAUGUACUGUCGAUCAAUUCGUUAUCCUUUGGAAGCUUCUUCUUCAAUAUUUUCAGCAGCUUCUCAAAUCCUUUGUCAGGCACACCAUUCUCUGCGUUCCACUGCAGCAAUUCCAGUACGGUACCGAGCUUUGUGUUGCCAUCUUCGCAAUUGGAGUACAACCCUUUUUUGUGAUCCUUUAACACGCGGUCAAACUUCAGCUUCUCCUUUACACUUUCGCACUGUCUCUUUGCAUCAACAAUGACCUGACGAAGAUCAUCAUCGGGCACAUCGUCUGGUUCCUCUUGAUGUUCAGCUUCCCCCAUUGCAGCAUCUUCAGCUUCCCCCAUUGCAGCAUCUUCAGCUUCCCCCAUUGCAGCAUCACCGUAUUCAGGGGGCACAUAGUUGUCAUCAUGUUCUUCUUCUUCUUCUUCGUUGUCUUCCAUCAUAACCCCUCUUUCUCCGUGCUUGGUCCAAACAUUAUAGUGUGGUAUGAAACCCUUAUAAAGAAGGUGGGUGUGAAGGGUUUUUGAGUCAAAGUAAGACCUCGUAUUCCCACAUAUAGGGCAUGGACAACACAUAAAACCAUUCUGCUUGAUUGCCUCAGCAACUGCGAGAAAAUUAUUCAUGCCCUUAAUGUACUCGGAGGUGCGUCUGUUACCGUACAUCCAUUGUCGGUUCAUCUCUGCGUACAUCAUGAAUAGAUAGGUGACCAAAUUAAUAUAAGUUCAUCAUCACAUUAAACCCAAAGUACAUACAUAGUUCUCAUUGAACAACAUAUAGCUCUCCAGAGCAUCUAAUUAAACCAUACAUUGAAACUAUGUAAAACAUUUCAAUGCAACAACAAAUGUGAUCAUAACCGCAACCAAGGUAACAAUUGAUCCAAUGACAUAAUAAUACCAAGCCUCAGUAUGAAUGGCAUAUUUUCUAAUCUUUCUAAUCUUCAAGCGCAUUGCAUCCAUCUUGAUCUUGUGAUCAUCGACGAUAUCCACAACAUGCAACUCCAAUAUCAUCUUCUCCUCCUCAAUUUUUUUCAAUUUUUCCUUCAAGUAAUUGUUUUCUUCUUCAACUAAAUUUAAUCGCUCGACAAUAGGGUCGGUUGGAAUUUCCGGUUCACAUACUCCUAGAUAAAAAAAUCUAUGUCACGUUGCUCGGCAUUAUUGUCAUAAACACUAAAUGAAACUAAUAGUUAUAAAGGAAAAAUAUAUACCACAUCUGAAUCAUAGACAGGAUGAGGGACGACGGAGGCGGAUACCAAAACCAUCGCACUAUAGAAUAACAAACAAUAAUAAGUAAGAAACUACACAAGUAUCUAUCUAAAUCAGACAAGUAAGAACUUUUUUCUUUUAGAAAGAAGAUAAGAUCAAGAGGCUCACCACGGUGGUGCACGCACGAGAUCGGCGUGAGCGAUCAACGGCGAUGAGGACGGGGAUGGGACAGGACGGACCGCCAAAUCUAGACAAAUCUCGAGGAAAAUGGAGCUUGGACAAGGAACUUUGAGAGGAGAAAGCUUAAGUGUGGCUAGGGCAUUUCAUCGAACACGUCAUGUGCAUAGGAGGUGAGCUAGAGCACAACACACCUCUCACACACCUCUCCAAGAGCACUCCACUGCUCUGCUCGCGGGCAAGGGGUAUAUAUAUGCAUCUCAUUGGUCCCGGUUCGUGGCUCGAACCGGGACUAAAGGGCAACCUUUGGUCCCGGUUUAAGCCACCAAUUGGGACCAAUGGUGGUGGGCCAGGAGCGAGGCACAUUGGUCUCAGUUCGAGCCUCGAACCAGGAACAAAGUUGCCAGAUGAACCGGGACCAAUGCCCCACGAUGGCCCGGCUGCCCCCCCCCCGGCCUCAUGAACCGGGACCUAUGCCCCCAUGGGUCCUGGUUCUGGGCUGAACCGGGACUAAUGGGCUGGCCCGGCCUGAACCAAAGCCCUGUUUUCUACUAGUGCACAAUAGUCACCUCCACAGAUAGAUCUGAUACUUAGGAAAACAAAUUGGCUCUAUGAAGAAGAAAAAGAAGAACACACCGCACGCUGCUGUUGCACAUGUAGUUGUCAACCUGCAUGGAACACUCGCAACAGAGGAAAUGGCCAUUGGAUUUCCCACUAAGACAACUCAGAUAUGUUUUUCCACAAAAAAUAGUUAGAAAGCUAAAGUAUCAUGGGAAAAAACGGUGUGUUUCAAAAAUAUACUUGCCAGAUAAAAUAUCAGUUAAUUAGUAUUGCACAAGAAGACGCCUACAAAUUAUUGCGAGCAAAUUUUGUACUACUGCAAAAUUGUCCCCAAAAGAUUCCAUCCCUCUAGAAACAUGCAACAUUAAAUUAAAUUACAACAAUUCUGUAUAUGUAAUAAAAAUCAUGUAGAUAGAAGACAGAACUAUGAUAUGGAUUAGGGAGAAAAGUUUGCUGUGUUUCAUAGGUUUAGGAGCAAUGUUGUGUAUCUCUUAUAAUGUCUUGAAUAACUGUGCUAUCGGCGGUAGCUCCUUUUCUUGGCGGCCUCAUGAAUGAUUGACGACAGCUGAUUCCUGAUCUGUUUGAAACUGUCCUUAGUACGGUCCUCCUCCCCUCCUAGAUAUGAUUCAUGUACUAAUCCAAAAAUACAUCCUUCUCCACUUCAUCGCAGUUAGGUCGGGGCAUGGCAGCUAAGGGCUUAGAAGGUUAGGGUAGUAGAGAUUCAAAGAUCAUGAAGGAAGGGGAUGAGGAAGAAGCUAGUUGGAUUGUUUUAGAGGACAGCUACGAAAGAAAGCAAAUUGGACAGGAGGAGGAGCAGGAGCGCUAGGGUUUGUUGCAUCAGUGGGGCUGACUUCUAGGGAUUCAGAUUGGAUGGGAGGAGAACAUGAUUAGGAGGAGCAGCGCCACGACUUGGUCGUUGGUUGUUUGUUUAGGCUAUACAUGGGAGGGGUUGGAUCAGUGGAGGAAGGAGAUUGCCAGAUUCUUUUUUAUCACUGUAUUUUUUUCGAACUGUUUUAUUUCACUGUAGAUUAUUUUUUACGGGAUUUUUAUCACUGUUCGUAUUUUUUCGAACUGUUUUUUAUCACUGUUCGUAUUUUCGAGCUAAUUUUUAACCGUGCGUCUGAAUGCAGCAAGUAAUAUGGCGUUGGAAAGCUUGAACAAAUGCGAAACUUUUUGGUAUGUAUUAUUUUUUUCCAAUUCUUUACGAUUUUAAGUCAGUUUCGAAAAUGGCGAAAAAAAUAUUUUCGCCGUAUUUUCUACAAACUUUAUCGGAAUGGCGCAAAUAAUAUACCGCUGAAAAGCUACGGAAAAUGCGAAACUUUUUCAUGUUGACAGUGUUCUCUGAUUCUUGGCCGUUUUCAUGUAAUUUUAAAAACGGCGAGAUCAUUCGUUCUGCCUUUAUCGCGAAACAGAUUCGCCAAAAAUGCAUCGCGUGAAGUACCUGAACUUCUCGGUAUGAAACCUUGAACUUCACUCUGUUUUUCACGUGCUUUUUUUCCUCGUAUAUCUCUAUCGACUGCUCCUAGCUCUACAUCCACUCACCGGAAUUGAGCAAGUGAUAUACCGAUGGAAAGCUGCUGUAAACACGCAACUUUCCCGCGUUGAUCAUUUUUUCAUACUCGCAACAAUUUUAAAAGUUCCUCAUCUGAAAUUCAUUCAAAGUAGUAGUUGAACUUCAUGCUAUUUUCACGUUGAACUUCUGUGAUGAAUUUUUGUUUGUACACGCGCCUGAACUUCCCUCUGUACGAGCCUGACCUUCGGGCUAUCUUUGCAAUUUUACUACCUGAUUUGUUCGACCUGAACUUCCCCUAGUGCUAGGUUGAACUUCCGUCAACAUUGCCGAAAUGGGGCUUGCGAUAUACCGUUGGAAAGCUAUGGACACCAGUAUCAUGACCCAACUUAAAAUUUUGGCAAAAUGUAAGUGGUUUAAGAGCAGUUUUGAAAACCGUUUUUUCUUCAUACAAAAAAUGUGAAUCGUAUUUUUGAUUGCAUUUCUAAAUCGUUUAUCGGAAUGAGGAAAAUAAUAUGGCGUUUGGAAAGCUGCUGUAAAACCGCUCCUUCCACAUGCUGAAAGUUUUUUCUAAUUCCCUAUGAUUAAAGAGUAAUGUGGAAAACCGUAAAAUUUCGCAAACCGAACAACCGAGUUCAUAUUUUUGUUGCCAUUUCUAAAUGCCUAAUCCAAUUGAGACAAAUGAUAUCGUGUUGGAAAGCUUAUGAAAAUGCGAUUUUUUCUCAUGUUGAAAGUUUUUUCUAAUUUUGAAUGGUUUAAGAGUAAUUUAGAAAACGGUACAAGUUCCCAUUUAUCUCGUACCCUUUGUAAGUCAUUACAGUAAAAGAUGGUUCCCUCGCCAACGAGUACAACUCAUCAGAAACAGUGUUGUCACCCCUGAGACGUGUUUGCAACCAACUGCCAAAAGUCCUGAUGUGUUCACAUGUAAUCCAGUCGUCACACUGGUCCGGGUGUUUGGAGCACAGAAUGUUCUUGUGUUCAUCGACAUACAGGGUCACCAAUGUAGAAUUCUGUAGAACUGUGUAGUGUGCUUGAGACCAAGAAUGCCCGUCCCUACAUAUUAUUGAGUCCCCUCCUAGCGUGCCUUUUCCACUUAGUCUCCCCUCAUACCGCGAUUGAGGGAGACCUAUCUUCUUAAGGUCAGGAAUGAAGUCAACACAAAACCCAAUAUCAUCCUCUGUUUGAUGGCCCAUGGAGAUGCUUCCUUCUGGUCUAGCGCGGUUACGGACAUAUUUCUUUAGGACUCCCAUGAACCUCUCAAAGGGGAACAUAUUAUGUAGAAAUACAGGGCCAGAUAAUCUCGUCGACUAGAUGAACUAGGACAUCCGUCAUGAUAUUGAAGAAGGAUGGUGGGAACACCGGCUCAAAACUGACAAGACAUUGCGCCACAUCACUCAACCUUGGUAGGAUUUCUGGAUCGAUGACCUUCUGAGAGAUUGCAUUGAGGAAUGAACAUAGCUUCACAAUGGCUAAUCGAACAUUUUCUGGUAGAAGCCCCCUCAAUGCAACCGGAAGCAGUUGUGUCAUACUCACGUGGCAGUCAUGCGACUUUAGGUUCUGGAACUUUUUCUCUACCAUAUUUAUUAUUCCCUUUAUAUUCGAUAGCCAGACGGGACCUUCAUACUGAGCAGGCAUUGAAAGAAGAUUUCCUUCUCUUCUUUGGUAAGUGCGUAGCUGGCAGGACCUUCAUACUGCUUUGGAGGCAAGCCGUCUUUUUCGUGCAAACGUUGCAGGUCCUCCCGUGCAUCAGGUGUAUCUUGUGUCUUUCCAUACACGCCCAAGAAGCCUAGCAGGUUCACGCAAAGGUUCUUCGUCACGUGCAUCAUGUUGAUUGAAGAGCAGACCUCUAGGUCUUUCCAGCAGGGUAUGUCCCAAAAUAUAGAUUUCUUCUUCCACAUGGGUGCGCGUCCCUCAGCGUCAUUCGGAACAGAUAGUCCGCCGGGACCCUUUCUGAAGAUUACUUUUAAUCAUUGACCAUAACAAGUACGUGAUCACCAUUACACAUGGCGGGCUUCUUCCGGUGAUCUGCCUCGCCUUUGAAAUGCUUACCUUUCUUUCAACAUUGAUGGUUGGUAGGAAGAAAUCGACGAUGCCCCAGGUACACAUUCUUCCUGCAUUUGUCCAGGUAUAUACUUUCGGUGUCAUCUAAACAGUGCGUGCAUGCAUGGUAUCCCUUGUUUGUUUGUCCUGAAAGGUUACUGAGAGCAGGAUAAUCAUUGAUGGUUACAAACAGCAACGCAUGCAGGUCAAAUUCCUCAUGUUUGUGCUCAUCCCACACACGUACACCGUUUCCAAUCCAUAGCUGUAAAAGUUCUUCAACUAAUGGUCUUAGGUACACAUCAAUGUUGUUGCUGGGUUUCUUAGGGCCUUGGAUGAGAACUGGCAUCAUAAUGAACUUCCGCUUCAUGCACAACCAAGGAGGAAGGUUAUAGAUACAUAGAGUCAAGGGCCAGGUGCUGUGAUUGCUGCUCUGCUCCCCAAAAGGAUUAAUGCCAUCUACACUUAAACCAAACCAUACGUUCCUUGCGUCACCUGCAAACUCCUCCCAGUAUUUUCUCUCAAUUUUUCUCCACUGUGACCCGUCAGCGGGUCCUCUCAACUUCCUGUCUUUCUUACAGUCCUCUCUGUGUCAUCGCAUCAACUUGGCAUGCUCUUUGUUUCUGAACAGGCGUUUCAAUCGUGGUAUUUUAGGAGCAUACCACAUCACCUUGGCAGGAACCCUCUUUCUGGGGCGCUCGCCAUCAACAUCACCAGGGUCAUCUCGUCUGAUUUUAUACCGCAAUGCACCGCAUACCGGACAUGCGUUCAAAUCCUCGUACGCACCGCGGUAGAGGAUGCAGUCAUUAGGGCAUGCAUAUAUCUUCUGCACUUCUAAUCCUAGAGGGCCUAUGACCUUCUUUGCUGCAUAUGUACUGUCGAUCAAUUCGUUAUCCUUUGGAAGCUUCUUCUUCAAUAUUUUCAGCAGCUUCUCAAAUCCUUUGUCAGGCACACCAUUCUCUGCGUUCCACUGCAGCAAUUCCAGUACGGUACCGAGCUUUGUGUUGCCAUCUUCGCAAUUGGAGUACAACCCUUUUUUGUGAUCCUUUAACACGCGGUCAAACUUCAGCUUCUCCUUCACACUUUCGCACUGUCUCUUUGCAUCAACAAUGACCUGACGAAGAUCAUCAUCAGGCACAUCGUCUGGUUCCUCUUGAUGUUCAGCUUCCCCCAUUGCAGCAUCUUCAGCUUCCCCCAUUGCAGCAUCUUCAGCUUCCCCCAUUGCAGCAUCACCGUAUUCAGGGGGCACAUAGUUGUCAUCAUGUUCUUCUUCUUCUUCUUCGUUGUCUUCCAUCAUAACCCCUCUUUCUCCGUGCUUGGUCCAAACAUUAUAGUGUGGUAUGAAACCAUUAUAAAGAAGGUGGGUGUGAAGGGUUUUUGAGUCAAAGUAAGACCUCGUAUUCCCACAUAUAGGGCAUGGACAACACAUAAAACCAUUCUGCUUGAUUGCCUCAGCAACUGCGAGAAAAUUAUUCAUGCCCUUAAUGUACUCGGAGGUGCGUCUGUUACCGUACAUCCAUUGUCGGUUCAUCUCUGCGUACAUCAUGAAUAGAUAGGUGACCAAAUUAAUAUAAGUUCAUCAUCACAUUAAACCCAAAGUACAUACAUAGUUCUCAUUGAACAACAUAUAGCUCUCCAGAGCAUCUAAUUAAACCAUACAUUGAAACUAUGUAAAACAUUUCAAUGCAACAACAAAUGUGAUCAUAACCGCAACCAAGGUAACAAUUGAUCCAAUGACAUAAUAAUACCAAGCCUCAGUAUGAAUGGCAUAUUUUCUAAUCUUUCUAAUCUUCAAGCGCAUUGCAUCCAUCUUGAUCUUGUGAUCAUCGACGAUAUCCACAACAUGCAACUCCAAUAUCAUCUUCUCCUCCUCAAUUUUUUUCAAUUUUUCCUUCAAGUAAUUGUUUUCUUCUUCAACUAAAUUUAAUCGCUCGACAAUAGGGUCGGUUGGAAUUUCCGGUUCACAUACUCCUAGAUAAAAAAAUCUAUGUCACGUUGCUCGGCAUUAUUGUCAUAAACACUAAAUGAAACUAAUAGUUAUAAAGGAAAAAUAUAUACCACAUCUGAAUCAUAGACAGGAUGAGGGACGACGGAGGCGGAUACCAAAACCAUCGCACUAUAGAAUAACAAACAAUAAUAAGUAAGAAACUACACAAGUAUCUAUCUAAAUCAGACAAGUAAGAACUUUUUUCUUUUAGAAAGAAGAUAAGAUCAAGAGGCUCACCACGGUGGUGCACGCACGAGAUCGGCGUGAGCGAUCAACGGCGAUGAGGACGGGGAUGGGACAGGACGGACCGCCAAAUCUAGACAAAUCUCGAGGAAAAUGGAGCUUGGACAAGGAACUUUGAGAGGAGAAAGCUUAAGUGUGGCUAGGGCAUUUCAUCGAACACGUCAUGUGCAUAGGAGGUGAGCUAGAGCACAACACACCUCUCACACACCUCUCCUAGAGCACUCCACUGCUCUGCUCGCGGGCAAGGGGUAUAUAUAUGCAUCUCAUUGGUCCCGGUUCGUGGCUCGAACCGGGACUAAAGGGCAACCUUUGGUCCCGGUUUAAGCCACCAACUGGGACCAAUGGUGGUGGGCCAGGAGCGAGGCACAUUGGUCUCAAUUCGAGCCUCGAACCAGGAACAAAGUUGCCAGAUGAACCGGGACCAAUGCCCCAUGAUGGCCCGGCUGCCCCCCCCCCGGCCUCACGAACCGGGACCUAUGCCCCCAUGGGUCCUGGUUCUGGGCUGAACCGGGACUAAUGGGCUGGCCCGGCCUGAACCAAAGCCCUGUUUUCUACUAGUGCACAAUAGUCACCUCCACAGAUAGAUCUGAUACUUAGGAAAACAAAUUGGCUCUAUGAAGAAGAAAAAGAAGAACACACCGCACGCUGCUGUUGCACAUGUAGUUGUCAACCUGCAUGGAACACUCGCAACAGAGGAAAUGGCCAUUGGAUUUCCCACUAAGACAACUCAGAUAUGUUUUUCCACAAAAAAUAGUUAGAAAGCUAAAGUAUCAUGGGAAAAAACGGUGUGUUUCAAAAAUAUACUUGCCAGAUAAAAUAUCAGUUAAUUAGUAUUGCACAAGAAGACGCCUACAAAUUAUUGUGAGCAAAUUUUGUACUACUGCAAAAUUGUCCCCAAAAGAUUCCAUCCCUCUAGAAACAUGCAACAUUAAAUUAAAUUACAACAAUUCUGUAUAUGUAAUAAAAAUCAUGUAGAUAGAAGACAGAACUAUGAUAUGGAUUAGGGAGAAAAGUUUGCUGUGUUUCAUAGGUUUAGGAGCAAUGUUGUGUAUCUCUUAUAAUGUCUUGAAUAACUGUGCUAUCGGCGGUAGCUCCUUUUCUUGGCGGCCUCAUGAAUGAUUGACGACAGCUGAUUCCUGAUCUGUUUGAAACUGUCCUUAGUACGGUCCUCCUCCCCUCCUAGAUAUGAUUCAUGUACUAAUCCAAAAAUACAUCCUUCUCCACUUCAUCGCAGUUAGGUCGGGGCAUGGCAGCUAAGGGCUUAGAAGGUUAGGGUAGUAGAGAUUCAAAGAUCAUGAAGGAAGGGGAUGAGGAAGAAGCUAGUUGGAUUGUUUUAGAGGACAGCUACGAAAGAAAGCAAAUUGGACAGGAGGAGGAGCAGGAGCGCUAGGGUUUGUUGCAUCAGUGGGGCUGACUUCUAGGGAUUCAGAUUGGAUGGGAGGAGAACAUGAUUAGGAGGAGCAGCGCCACGACUUGGUCGUUGGUUGUUUGUUUAGGCUAUACAUGGGAGGGGUUGGAUCAGUGGAGGAAGGCGAUUGCCAGAUUCUUUUUUAUCACUGUAUUUUUUUCGAACUGUUUUAUUUCGCUGUAGAUUAUUUUUUACGGGAUUUUUAUCACUGUUCGUAUUUUUUCGAACUGUUUUUUAUCACUGUUCGUAUUUUCGAGCUAAUUUUUAACCGUGCGUCUGAAUGCAGCAAGUAAUAUGGCGUUGGAAAGCUUGAACAAAUGCGAAACUUUUUGGUAUGUAUUAUUUUUUUCCAAUUCUUUACGAUUUUAAGUCAGUUUCGAAAAUGGCGAAAAAAAUAUUUUCGCCGUAUUUUCUACAAACUUUAUCGGAAUGGCGCAAAUAAUAUACCGCUGAAAAGCUACGGAAAAUGCGAAACUUUUUCAUGUUGACAGUGUUCUCUGAUUCUUGGCCGUUUUCAUGUAAUUUUAAAAACGGCGAGAUCAUUCGUUCUGCCUUUAUCGCGAAACAGAUUCGCCAAAAAUGCAUCGCGUGAAGUACCUGAACUUCUCGGUAUGAAACCUUGAACUUCACUCUGUUUUUCACGCGCUUUUUUUCCUCGUAUAUCUCUAUCCACUGCUCCUAGCUCUACAUCCACUCACCGGAAUUGAGCAAGUGAUAUACCGAUGGAAAGCUGCUGUAAACACGCAACUUUCCCGCGUUGAUCAUUUUUCAUACUCGCAACAAUUUUAAAAGUUCCUCAUCUGAAAUUCAUUCAAAGUAGUAGUUGAACUUCAUGCUAUUUUCACGUUGAACUUCUGUGAUGAAUUUUUGUUUGUACACGCGCCUGAACUUCCCUCUGUACGAGCCUGACCUUCGGGCUAUCUUUGCAAUUUUACUACCUGAUUUGUUCGACCUGAACUUCCCCUAGUGCUAGGUUGAACUUCCGUCAACAUUGCCCAAAUGGGGCUUGCGAUAUACCGUUGGAAAGCUAUGGACACCAGUAUCAUGACCCAACUUAAAAUUUUGGCAAAAUGUAAGUGGUUUAAGAGCAGUUUUGAAAACCGUUUUUUCUUCAUACAAAAAAUGUGAAUCGUAUUUUUGAUUGCAUUUCUAAAUCGUUUAUCGGAAUGAGGAAAAUAAUAUGGCGUUUGGAAAGCUGCUGUAAAACCGCUCCUUCCACAUGCUGAAAGUUUUUUCUAAUUCCCUAUGAUUAAAGAGUAAUGUGGAAAACCGUAAAAUUUCGCAAACCGAACAACCGAGUUCAUAUUUUUGUUGCCAUUUCUAAAUGACUAAUCCAAUUGAGACAAAUGAUAUCGUGUUGGAAAGCUUAUGAAAAUGCGAUUUUUUCUCAUGUUGAAAGUUUUUUCUAAUUUUGAAUGGUUUAAGAGUAAUUUAGAAAACGGUACAAGUUCUACCAAGUUUGUAUUUUCGAUUUUUUAAUCAUACGUCUGAACAUAGCAAAUGAUAUGGCGUUGGAAAGCCUGAACAAAUGCGAAACUUUUUGGUAUAUAUUGUUUCUCCAAAUUCAUUACGGUUUUACGUUGAUUUUGAAAAUGGCUAAAAAUGUAUUUUCGCUGUAAUUUCUACAAACUUCAUCGGAACGGGGAAAAUAAUAUACUGUUGAAAAGCUACAAAAAAUGUGAAAGUUUUUCAUGUUGAUGGUUUUCUCUGAAUCCCAGCCAUUUUUAAGUAAUUUCAGAAACGGCGAGAUCACUCGUUCUGCCUUUAUCACGAAACAGAUUCGUCGAAAAUGCAUUGCGUGAAGUACUUGAACUUCUGUGGCAGUUUUGCCUGAAGUUCACUCUGUUUUUCACCUGCUUUUUUUUGCUCGUAGCUCUUCAUUCACUCACCGGAAUUAAGCAAGUGAUAUACCGAUGGAAAGCUGCUAUAAACACGCAACUUUUCCGUGUUGAUCAACUUUUCAUACUCGCGACGGUUUUAACAGUUUUUCUUGUGAAAUUCAUUCAGUGUAGUAGUUGAACUUCCUGUUGUUUUCACGUUGGACUUCUGUGACAUAUUUUUUGUUUGUAAUUUUCCCAUCCAUUUUCAUCAGUGUUACACAAAUGAUAUUCUUUUUGUACAAACCUCUCUCACAAUAUUUUUUUAACUUUCUCUGACCGAGGACUUGAACUUACACAAAUGAUAUUCUUGUCGUUUUGAAGUAAAUUAGAAAAUGACAAGAUCAUGAUUUCUGCCUUCAUCGCAAAUGGAAAUGCACUGCCUGAAGUAGUUGAACUUCUCGGGCAUGUCUGUUUGAACUUCACUCUGUUUUUGACGUGCUAUUUUUUGACAUGCUGUUUUUCGCACUGCGUGAAUUAGUUGAACUUCUGGGGCAUGUCUGUUUGAACUUCACUUUGUUUCACUUUAUUUGUAUUUUUUGUAUGAAAUACACACCAUGUAGCACGUGAACUUCCGGUUGUUAUCACUUUUGAACUUCUCUCUGGUUUGAGAGAAUUAUUUUAGAACACAAAAAAACAUAUUUUUUUUACGUAUUUUGGACAUCUAAAUACACGGUGAACCUCUCUCACAAGAAUUUUUUGAACUUUCCAUCACCGAGCACUUGAACUUCUAGCAACUAUUUUUUUCGUUUAUGAAUUGUUUUUAAAAGUACAAAAAAUGGUGUUGUAUUUUUUAUUUUUUGAACAGGCAAAUCCUAGAUUAUAAUAAACUCUGAACUUCUCUAUUAUUUUAAUAUGAACUUCAGGUUUUUAUAUUUUUGAGUAAAGAAUUGUAUUGGAUUUUUAUACGGAAAAAAUCAAACAUGGAAAUACAAGAUGAACCUCUCUCGCCAGAAUUUUUGAACUUCUCUGGACAGAGCACUUGAACUUCUUUCAACAAACUUUUUAAGCUUUUGUUUUUCCAUUCUUUUUAUUCUCACCUGAAAUGCAUUCCUUGCAGUACUUGAACUUCUCGUUGUUUUCACUAUGAAUUUCUGUCACAUUUUUGUGUGUACGUCGAAUUACACAUAAUUGAAGGCCGAACACCAUUUUUUUCCCAUUG